CAUAGACUAGGGUUUAAGCUUCUGUCACUCUAGCAACCCAUCAUCUACUUAGUACUCCCCAAUUCCUUCCUCUAGGACCAAAUAUGGUGAAGUGUUAUGUAGUCGACGUUCACAUAACACCACUAGAGGAAAAACAACAUACAACAUAUCAAAAUACCGAACGAAUACCAAAUUCACAUGACUAUUAUUAGCAUGACUUAUCCCAUGUCCUCAGGAACAAAAGUAACUACUCACAAAGCAUAAUUGUAAUCAUGAUCAGAGGUGUAAUGAGUAGCAUCAAGGAUCUGAACAUAAACUCUUCCGCCAAGUAAUCCAACUAGCAUCAACUACAAAGAGUAAUCAACACUACUAGCAACCUUACAAGUACCAAUCGGAGUCGCGAGACGGAGAUUGGUUACAAGAGAUGAACUAGGGUUUGGAGAGGAGAUGGUGCUGAUGAAGAUGUUGAUGGAGAUGACUCCCCUCCGACAAGAGGAGUGUUGGUCAUGACGAAGGCGACGAUUUCCCCCUCCGGGAGGGAAGUUUCCCCGGCAGGAUCGUCCUGCCGGAGCCCUAGAUUGGUUUUGCUCAAGUUCCGCCUCGUGGCGGCGGAGAAUCCACGAAAAAGCUCCACCUUGAUUUUUUCUCGGACGAAACCCUUCAUAUAGCAAAAGAGGGGGGGCUAGUGGGCCACCAGGGUGGCCACAAGCCCUGUUGCCGUGGCCAGGGGGGUAUGCCGCGGCAACCAGGCUUGUGGGCCUCUGGCAGCUCCCCUCUGACACUUCUUUCGCCCAAUAUUUUUUAUAUAUUCCCAAAAAAUUACACGUUGAUUUUCAGGGCAUUUGGAGUUGCGCGGAAUAGAGGACUCAGACUUGCUCCUUUUUCCAGUCCAGAAUUCCAGUUGCCGGUAUUCUCCCUCUUCAAAUAAACCUUGCAAAAUAAGAGAGAAAAGGCAUAAGUAUGGUUCCACAAAGUAUGAUAACACUCCAUAAAGCGAUAAAUAUCAACAUGAAAGCAAGAUGCAAAAUGGACGUAUCAAGCAUCAUAUAUAGGGCCCCCUUCUCCCUCCUCCUGUCGUGACUACGACACGGGACAUGGCAAGCGGGAGGGGAGCGCGACGCUCCCGUAGGGCAUUGCGGUCGUGACUCGGACGGUCGACCUUAGGCACAACGGUGCGUGGGUGCGGUUGCGGCAGCGUUGCAAAGGUGGCUAGGCGAGCCGGCGUGCCAUGAUGGAGGGUUGGCUGGUGCCAGCUUCAUUAGAUCCGUCGCGGGUUGUGGGCAGCGCGGGCCGGUGUCCUCCACCAUGGCAGUGUUGUCGUCGGCAUGGUGGAGGCAACGGUGUGGUGGCGGUAUCUGCGCUCUUAUCGCAUCAUGGCAACGAUCUGCAUGAUUGGUCCUCCUCGAUCCUGUUGUUGACGUAUUCCAGAACUACUAUCAGAGAUCUUGCACAAUGAUUUUUGGAUCGGUAUGUAUCCGGUCGUGCGCGUCCAUAUCAUCCUACCGAGUUCCAUGAGGGCGAACCACGAAGCUAUGUUGUUUAUUGACACCAUGUGACAUGUGUGGUAUCUCGAUUUCCAUGGCACGAAGGCAGAUAAAGUCAUGAUGGUUGAUAUCGGAGGAUCAACAUGGGGAAGGAGCCCUCGAGGUGAUGGAGUCAGCCAGUUGUCUGAUGAAUUUUAGAAGCAUCAGUGACAAGUGGGGGCGGCAACACUGGAUCGAUUUCAUUUUUGUUGGUGCGCCUCGGAUACGGAUCAUGACUUUCAGGGUGAAAUAUCUAAGGUCCGACCUUCAUUGCUCAUGCCUAGCAUUGCCUUGCUGAAGGUAUUAUUUUGAGAGCUCGGUCUUCUCUAGGGUCAAACCCUAACAUCUUGGAUCGGACGAGUACUACGUUUAUGGAGUGUUUCCUUUUUGAAAGCGUCGCUUUUGAAGACCUUUUAUGUCCUUCAGGUGUUGUCUUUGGUGAUGGUUUAAGUGUUAGUGUUGAGACGAGUCGAUCACUGCCGUGACCUUUGUUAUUUGUUCCUUUAUUUUUUAUUUUUCGUGUUGUGUGUAUUCUGGAUGUCUUUCUGAUAUCUUGUUGGUGUAGUGGUUGGAUGUAGUUGGUAUCUUCGCGAUAUUAAUAUAUUUUCUUUUUGAAAAAAUAUAUUGCACGCCCAGUGCCAAUCCAACUAUGAGAUUCUCCUCGUAAAGGCACAAAUUAUAUUUCGUACAAAGCAAAUAAAAUUUGUACCUUAAUCAGUAGACCUAAGAAAUUUCAAGAGGUUGUCCUACGAAUGAACAACAAUUGAGACUUCAAUUCCUAAUGUGCAGAGCCUCGCCAAAAAAUUCCAUCCGCAUUUUCAUGCGGUGCACGGAAACAGACUCAGCAAAACUCACUCUCCACAUAGCACCAACCUAAUAACUAACAAAUAUGUCAAACAAAUAUUUUUUAACUGUGACCCUAUUUUCAAUAGCAUAUGUAUUCAUAACUAAGUGUUAUUCCUUUCGUCAUAUAAUAUGAAAGCGUUUCUUACAUUAAUAUAAUAUCAAAAACACUCUUAUAUUAUGGAACGAAGGAAAUACAUCACAAUAAUUUAAAAAUAUUUUAAAUUGAAAAACAAUUAUAAAUUUGCGCCUACAAAAUUUAUCAGCAAUUACAAAUGUGGAUCCUCUAAAAGGUUGUUAUGGUUGAUCAUAAUUUAGCUCUUAUAGAAAUUUAUUAGUCAAAGUGAUCCUAAUGUUCCCCAAUUGAUCAUAAUUUAUAUUGUUAUCCUCUUGCUUUCUCUUAGUCUCAUUCACAUCUCCUAACCUCUCACACUUUCAUCUCAAUCUCUCCUGAUUUUCACCACCCUGAGGUUCCAUGUUCCAACUACAUCACCGCAACCACCACAAAAGGGUUCUUAACACCCCCCCCCCCGCGCGCGCGCCACACAUACAAACACACACAAACACCACAGAAAACUCUAUAUGGCUCCAAACUAGUUAUGGAAUGUUUUUGUCCACUUAUCAUGCUGAAGGGAUUACAUAACACUAUUAGGAGGCUGUUAUGACUGGUUUACAUUAUAACCGGAGGAGGCCCAAUUAGCCAAGCUGGCUCAGUUAUCUAAUAGUAUUAGGGGCUUAGUCCAGUUGAUAGCCUAGAGGAGUUACAUGUACUCAUGUAAUGAACACCUUUGAGAUUAAGCAAGAUCAAUCUAUUUUGAUCGGCUCCUAGAAGGAGCCGGUGCCCUAAUCCUAGCCGCGCCCAACUCUCUCUCUCUCUCUCGCUUGUGACCACGGCGCCCCACCGCCGUCGGCCUUGCCAGCCGCCUCGCCAUCCACCGCAAUACCCCUACAACCUGCGAGCACGCCCUGGUAGGGAAGUUGUUCCUACCAAUUUGGUAUCAAAUUGCACAGGUUCGGCCAUAUCCGCCCCUCUGCCCCUUUCCCGCCUUCCGUCGGCGUCCACCCUACCGCCGCUGGCCACCACGCCGAUGGCCACUAUGGUCGCCGCUACAGACGUCACCGGCCCGCCUCCCGAGGCCGCCUGCCCUCCGCCGCUCUUGGCCGGCCUGGUUCUCUCCUCCACGGAGAUUACCAUCGCGCUGCUGGAGCUCGGCCACGCUGUGGAGGGCAUCCGCACUCUCCUUGCGGGGAACCCCGCGCCGCACCAGCUGCUCGUGGCCUUCUUCCCCGCACCUAGGCUCCACCUCCGCGCUAAGUGGGCCGCCUCGGACCUCGGGCGCACCCAUUCAGGAGGUGCGGUUCCCUCCGUCGCCGUCCCCGCUCCCGGCCAAGUUCACCAAGCCCGUUUACACGCCGGCCACGGUGCAACUAUCCCUACCGACCCCAGUCGCGGUGUAUCCGGCCGGGCCACUCAUUGGCUCUGCCAGACCGAUGGGAUCCUACGCGGGAGUUGAUGGCCCCAUGUUCCACAGCGGGCCACUGUAGCCCGUCCUCCCGGGCCAGUCGGUGCGACUGCUCCACGCGGUAGAGCCGCCAAUGGCCACCGGCAAUGGCCAAUAACCGAUGCGUUUCUCCAAGCUGGAGUUCGCCACCUACGAUUGCACCGGCAACCCCGUAAACUGGCUCAACCAGUGCGACCAGUUCUUCAAGGGGCAAUAGAUGCUCACAUCCGACCGCACCUGGAUCGCGUCGUACCACCUCCGGGGCAUGGCACAGACGUGGUACUACGCCCUCGAGCAGGAUGAGGGCGGGAUGCCGCCAUGGGAACGCUUCCGCGACCUGUGCCUUCUAUGGUUCGGGCCACCCGUCCGCGGCAGCAGGUUGGCAGAACUCACACGCCUCCCCUUCCGCUCUUCGAUGUAGGAUUUUGUCGAGCACUUCCGGGCGCUGGCCUGCCACACUCCGGGUGUCUCGAUCCUCCAACAGGCCGAACUCUUUGUCGGCGGCUGCUACUGCAACAAAAGACCUUCCAACGGCGCCAGAAAUAGGCACGUCGACGGGAGAAUACUUGGCUUGAUCUUUCUGCUGCGGCUACACCUUCAGGGACUUCCUAGGAAAGUAUGCAAAGGAUUUCCCCCGUGGCCUUGGAGCCUUGCGUUGGUGUUCCCUCGAAGCGGAAAGGGUGAUGUAGCGUAGCGGUGGUAAGUACAUCCCUCAGUUUGAGAACCAAGGUAUCNNNNNNNNNNNNNNNNNNNNNNNNNNNNNNNNNNNNNNNNNNNNNNNNNNNNNNNNNNNNNNNNNNNNNNNNNNNNNNNNNNNNNNNNNNNNNNNNNNNNNNNNNNNNNNNNNNNNNNNNNNNNNNNNNNNNNNNNNNNNNNNNNNNNNNNNNNNNNNNNNNNNNNNNNNNNNNNNNNNNNNNNNNNNNNNNNNNNNNNNNNNNNNNNNNNNNNNNNNNNNNNNNNNNNNNNNNNNNNNNNNNNNNNNNNNNNNNNNNNNNNNNNNNNNNNNNNNNNNNNNNNNNNNNNNNNNNNNNNNNNNNNNNNNNNNNNNNNNNNNNNNNNNNNNNNNNNNNNNNNUUUGAGAACCAAGGUAUCAAUCCAGUGGAGGAGUAUCUCAAGAUCCUGCACAAACACAAAAACUUGCUCCCAACGCUAUGAAGGGGUUGUCAAUCCCUUACAGAUUGUUUCCCAAGUGAGAACUGAAAGCAACAAAGUAACAAAGCAAAGUAAAAGUGGAGGUGUAAACGAUGGAUGUGAAUAGACCCGGGGGCCGUAGUGUUUACUAGUGGCUUCUCUCAUGAAAGCAAGUAGACGGUGGGUGAACAAAUUACUGUCGAGCAAUUGAUAGAACCGCGCAAAGUCGUGACGAUAUCUAUGCAAUGAUUGUUUCUAUAGGCGUCACGUCCGAAACAAGUAGACUGAUACUUUCUGCAUCUACUACUAUUACUCCACACGUCGACCGUUAUCCAGCAUGCAUCUAGUGUAUUAAGUUCAUAAGAACAGAGUAACGCCUUAAGCAAGAUGACAUGAUGUAGAGGGCUAAUCUCAAACCAAUGAUAAAACCCCCAUCUUUUACCCUUGAUGGCAACUACUUGAUGUGUGCCUUUCUGCCCCUACUGUCACUGGGAAAGGUCACCACAUGGUAGAACCCAAAAUCAAGCACUUCUCCCAUUGCAAGAAUCAUAGAUCUAGUUGGCCAAACAGAACCCAAGACUCGGAGAGACUUACAAGGAUAUCAAAUCAUGCAUAUAAGAAAUCAACAAAGACUCAAAUAUAUAUCAUAGAUAAUCUGAUCACAAAUCCACAAUUCAUCGGAUCUCGACAAACACACCGCCAAAGAAGAUUACAUCGGAUAGAUCUCCAUGAAGAUCAUGGAGAACUUUGUAUUAAAGAUCCAAGAGAGAGAAGAAGUCAUCUAGCUACUAACUACAGACCCGUAGGUCUGAAGUGAACUACUCACGAGUCAUUGGAGGGGCGAUGAUGAUGAUGAAGAAGCCCUCCUACUCCAAAGUCCCCUCCGGCAGGGUGCCGGGAAGGGUCUCCAGAUGAGAUCUCGCGGAAACGGAAGCUUGCGGCGGCGGAAAAGUAUUUUCGAGGCUCCCCUGAUCUUUUGCGGAAUAUUUGGGAAUUUAUAGGCCAAAGACCUAGGUCAGGGGGCGGCCAGGGUGGCCACAAGAUUUCCCACCGCCGCCUCCCCUGGUGGCGUGGUGGGAGCUUGUGGGCUCCCUGGAGCCCACCUGGCUUGGCCCAAAGGCCCCCUGGUCGUCUUCCGUUCGGGAAAAAAAUCAUUUCGGGGUUUUUAUUCCGUUUGGACUCCAUUCCAAAAUCAGAUCUGAAAAGAGUCAAAAACACGAAAAAAAACAGGAACUAGCACUUGGCACUGAAUCAAUAAGUUAGUCCCAAAAAAGAUAUAAAAGGUACAUAAAACAACCAAAGAAGAUAAGAUGACAGCGUGAAACCAUCAAAAAUUAUAGAUACGUUUGAGACGUAUCAAGCAUCCCCAAGCUUAACUCGUGCUCGUCCUCGAGUAGGGAAGUGAUAAGAAUGAAUUUUUGAUGCUUUCAUGCUACCUAGCAUAGGUGUCCUUUGUAAUUCCUCUUAUGUGACGUGAAUGUUCAGAUCCAUUAGAUUCAAAACAAUAGUUUGCUAUUGACGUGGAAACAAUAAUAAUUCAAGCAAACUAGCAAGGUAAUCAUGAACUUUUAAAAUAACAAGGCCAAAAGAAAGUUAUCCCUACAAAAGCAUAUAGUCUGGCUAUGCUCUAUCAUCAUUGCACAACGAAUUUAAAUCAUGCACAACCCCGGUAUUGGCCAAGUAAUUGUUUAACACCUUUACUUUCUCAAACAUUUUCAACUCUCAUGCAAUACAUGAACGUGAGCCAUGGUUAUAGCACUAUAGAUGGUGUGGAAUGUAGUUGAGGUUGCAAUACAAAAAAGGAGAAGAUAGUCACAUUAACUAGGCAUAUUAAUGAGCUGUGGAGAUGCUCAUCAAUAGAUAUCAAUGUGAAUGAGUAGGGAUUUCCAUACAAAUGAUGCACUAGAGCUACGAGUAUGCGAAAGCUCUUAUAGAAAACUAGUGGGUGUGCAUCCAACUUGCUUGCUCACGAAGACCUAAGGCAAUUUUGAGGAAGCUUAUCAUUGGAAUAUACAAGCCAAGUUAUAUAAUGAAAAUUUCCAACUAGCUAUAUUGUGGUGACAAAACGAGAGACUCUCAAUCAUGAAGAUCAUGGUGCUUUAAUAAGCACAAGUGUGGAAAAAGUGGUAGCAUUGUCCCUUCUCUCUUUUUCUCUCAUUUUUUUAAAAUUUUGGUGGGCUCUUUGGCCUCUUUUUUUAUGGGCUUCUUUGGCCUCUUUUAUUUCCUCACAUGGGACAAUGCUCCAUUAAUGAUGAUCAUCACACUUUUAACUAAAAACUUAGAGCAACGAUGACUCUAUAUGGAAUGCCUUCGGUAGUGUACCGUGGCAAUGAUCUAGCAUGGCAUAGACAUCAAUGGAAACAUCAUGCUAGCUAUCUUACGAUCAUGCAAUGGCAAUGUAGACGUGGUGGCACAUGUCAUGGUGGUAGUUGCAUGGCAAUAUAUCUCGGAAUGACUUUGAAAAAGCCAUAGUAGGUAGGUAUGGUGGCUGUUUUGAGGGAGGCUAAUGGUGGGUUUUGUGCACCAGCGAAAGUUGCACGACACUAAGAAGAUAGUGAUGGUGGAAGGUGAAAGUGCAUCUAAACCAUGGACUCAACACUAGUCAUGAAGAACUCAUAUAGUUGUUGCAAAAGUUUUAUUAGUAAUCGAAACAAAUCAUUCAACACAUACUCCUAGGGGAAGGGUUGGUAGGUAUAAACCACCGCGCGAUCCGGCCGCCACGCAAAGAAUGACAAUCAAUAUACUAAUGAUGCUCAGAUUUCAUCACAUAGCGGUUCACCAUACGUGCAUGCUACGGGAAUCACUAACUUCAACACAAGUAUUUCUAGAUUCACAACACCUUACUAGCAUGACUUCGAUAUUACCAUAACCACAACUCAAAACUAAUUGAGAUGAAUCAAACUUCUCUAACUAUUCAAUGCACAUGAAGGUGGAAGUUUUCGUAUCCCUUUGGAUAACUACCCCUUUUGAGACUACUUUCAAAGCAUAGAUCAACUACCAAUCCACGCACCGCUGCGCUCUAAAAGAUAUAAGUGAAGCACAUAGAGCAAAAGUAUCUAGCUCAAAAGAUAUAAGUGAAGCACAUGUGAGCUGAAUUGUCUACCAAAAGAUAUAAGUGAAGCUCGACAAAAUCACGGUGUGUGCAUGUCUCUCUCUCUAGGUGUGCAGCAAGGAUGAUUGUGACACAACAAAAAUAAAAGACUCCUACGAUACAAGACGCUCCAAGCAAAAACACAUAACAUGUGGUGAAUAAAAAUAUAGCCCCAAGUAACGUUACCGAUGGAUUGAAGACGAGAGAGGGGAUGCCUUCCCGGGGCAUCCCCAAGCUUAGGCUUUUACGGCAUCCUUGAAUAUCUUGGGGUGCCUUGGGAAUCCCCAAGCUUGAGCUCUUGCCACUCUUUAUCUCUUUGUCCAUAAGAACUUCACCCAAAACUUGAAAACUUCACAACACGAAACUUAAACAGAAACUCGUGAUAACAUUAGUACAAGAAAGCAAACCACCACUUCCUUAGGUACUGCAGCAAACUUAAAUUCUACUUGUUCUGUUGUUGGGUUACUGUACUUUCAAUAUGCCAUGGCUAAUACCCCCGAUACUAUCCAUAGUUUCAUCAAAAUAAGCAACCAACACAACAAAAAUAGAAUCUGUUAACAGCAGACCACUCUGUAGCAAUCUGUAUAUUUCAUAUACCUCUGGUACUUCAAAAAUUCUGAAAAAUUACGAAAGUAUGAAGAAUUUGCGUAGCGACCAGUAGCAAAAAGAAUCAACUCAAAAGCUCUUAUAGAAAAAAACGAAAAUGCUUUUCAUGAGAAGAAAGUUUCUGUCUUUUCCAGCAUGACCAAACGAUCAUCCCCAAGACUAAUAACGGUUUUGCUUGGCACAAACGCAAAAAAAACACAAAAACACAAUCAUAACAGAAUUUCGAAAGUGUGGAAAACACAAAACAGAAAGAAAAAGGAUAAAUUCGUUGGGUUGCCUCCCAUAAAGCGCUUUUGUUUAACGCCCUUAGCUAGGCAUUCAAUGAUGCUCACACAAAAGACAAGAAUUGAAGCACAACGAGAGCAUCCUAAAGCAUGUGAAAAUCACAUCUAAGUCUAACAUACUUCCUAUGCAUAGGCAUUUUAUAGAAAAACAGAUUGUCAAGACAAACAAUAGUUGCCAUAUGCAAGGAAGAAGAAAGAGACAAUAGCAAUAUCAACAUAACGAGAGGUAUUUUGGUAACGUGAAAGUUUCUACCAUAAUAUUUUCCUCUCUCAUAGCAAUUACAUGUGGGAUCAUAUUCAAAUUCAACAAUAUAGUUAUCCCAUAGGAUAUUCUUUUCAUGAACCACAUGCAUGCAAAGUUGACGCUCUUCAAAAAUAGUGGGGUUAUCAUCAACCAAAGUCAUGACGUCUCCAAACCCACUUUCAAUAUUAUUGCAAAUAUCAUAUUCAUCAUGAGGUUUGAACAAAUUUUCAAGAUCAUAAGAAAGAUCAUCACCCCAAUCAUGAUUAUCGCAACAAGUAGAGGUCAUAGCAGAACUAGCAUCCCCAAGCUUAGAGUUUUGCAUAUUUUUAGCAUGAUUGUCACUAAUAGGAUUUAUAGUGAAAUCAUUGCAAUCAUGCUUUUCAUCCAAGGAGCCCUCGUGAAUCACUUCAUGAAUUUCUUCCUCACAAUUUUCAGAUUCACGCAUCUUAAGCGAAACUCCAUAGAAAUAGUCAAUUAUCCUCAACUCACUAUCAAUUCGUUCAACAAUAGUGGGUCUCUUAAAGAGACUAGCUAGUGGAUGAGGAUCCAUAUCAAUAGAUUUUCAGCAAGCAAAGAUGCAAGCAUAUUGAAGGCACAUGGCACACAAGCGAACAGAAAGCAAGCGAGAGAAAAGGGUGAACGAAAAGGCAAAGGAGAAAGGCAAAUGAAAACGGCAAAUGUGAAGUGGGGGAGAGGAAAACGAGAGGCAACUGGCAACAAAAGUAAAUGCAAGAGAAGAGUUUGUGAGACCUACUUGGAUAGAUCUUGAUUUCUCCUCCCCGGCAACAGCGCGAGAAAUACUUCUGCUACUGCAACAAAAGACCUUCCAAUGGCGCCAGAAAUAGGCACGUCGACGGAAGAAUACUUGGCUUGAUCUUUCUGCUGUGGCUACGCCUUAAGGGACUUCCUAGGCAAGUAUGCAAAGGAUUUCCCACGUGGCCUUGGAGCCUUGCGUUGGUGUUCCCUCGAAGCGGAAAGGGUGAUGUAGCGUAGCGGUGGUAAGUACUUCCCUCAAUUUGAGAACCAAGGUAUCAAUCCAGUGGAGGAGUAUCUCAAGAUCCUGCACAAACACAAAAACUUGCUCCCAACGCUAUGAAGGGGUUGUCAAUCCCUUAUAGAUUGUUUGCCAAGUGAGAACUGAAAGCAACAAAGUAACAAAGCAAAGUAAAAGCAGAGGUGUAAACGAUGGAUGUGAAUAGACCCGGGGGCCGUAGUGUUUACUAGUGGCUUCUCUCAUGAAAGCAAGUAGACAGUGGGUGAACAAAUUACUGUCGAGCAAUUGAUAGAACCGCGCAAAGUCGUGACGAUAUCUAUGCAAUGAUUGUUUCUAUAGGCAUCACAUCCGAAACAAGUAGACCGAUACUUUCUGCAUCUACUACUACUAGUUGGAUGCCCGUGCGUUGCCACGGGAUAACAAACUGAGACAUAAAGAACAAACUUUGACAUUGAGAUAUUGAUGAAAACAUCAUUUAGUUUGCUGACAUAUAGAGAUAUUAAACAAAACAUCAUGUAAUUCGUAAUGUGUACGCCACACACGUUCAUGAAUGUGUUACCAUAAAUAUCAUCUUACAUACCUAAAAGUUAAACAAAAUCAAGGCGAUCCAUGGUCAAAUUUUGGUCUAAAAUAUUUAUCUUCAAGAUUUAUUCUAAAACAUAGGUAUCAUUAGUAAUGUACAUGACCACAUAACUAAUAUUUCCACUUCCAAAGAUAAAUAAUUGUGCAACUCCAUUAUGAAUGCUCACACUCACGAUAGCCUCGAACCCAUAAUCCUACCGUGUUAAAAAACUGAACAUGACCCAAAAGAUAAAUAAACUUGAACAAAUUCGCGAGCCACCACGGAAGGAGUCAGGGUUGUGCUCUUUGCUGCGCUAUGAAAGAAUGGCAAUAUUUUCGCCUCAACCUGAACCUAAAAUGCAGCACCAGACCGGAAUUUAUGAUGGAAUAUAAAUUAUGUUACUUCCAUCCUAAGAGGCUGCCAACUAACAUGAUCAACAUUGCAGCUCAUAGCUUGUGGGAAAAUUUGAAAUACAACAAGUUGGGUUCAAUUAUAGAAACUUGCAAACUAAUUUGAUCAUUUGCGUUUUCCCGAUUGACAUAGGAAAUUACUUUAUUGAACACCAAAAAUACGUGCCGCGAAAAAUGAUAGAAUGGCAAGGCAGCUACAAAGUUCUUCAUCUCCAUCUAUCCCCUCCUUUGUGACAUGGCUCUGCAACACAUUUGCUUAACCAUCGACCAUCGGCUCAGUCUCUAAGCCCUCUACCAUCAGACAAGGGUUUGACUAAACCUGAACCACAAUAAAUAUAUUUUGUGGUCACGAGUAGGUCGAAUUUUCCACGGUCUGCAUGAGUCCUCCUACCUUUAGAAUAUAUUAAAAGAACUGAGCCUACAAUAGUAUAAUGCUCCAGCCACCUUCUUCCUUGCCUAAGAAAAUCAAGGUAAAUAUGCAUGACAAAAACAAUAUAAAUAUACUACUAUGUCUAACAAGAUUACUAAAACCGGAAUAAUGGCAUCAUACAAAUUGAUAAAAAUAGUACAAAAAUGCUGACACCUGGGAACAAGUCUCUGAUCUGAUUCCAAAAUUAUCCAAAAUAGUACAUAACCGGUAGACUGAUAAGCAACUUGUGAAUGUGUAUAACUGGACACAAUUGAAUAGCACAAAACUUGAAUUCUUGCUCUAUGGCUGCCGUGCCAUGGCAUUUCCAAUCAUUUCUUCCACUUGUCAAUCAUUUCUUCCACUUGUCAGGCUACCUCAGUCUCAACAGAAUUCAGAGGACUACUUUGCAAAGACAUAACUAAUCUGGAUAACAAAGGUUUAAGAUAUGGUAGGAUAACUUCACAGAAAACCAUCAAUGCAUAGUGUGAUUUCUCCUGCAAAUUCAUAUUCAUUAUUCUAUUACUUAAUUACCACAUAGAUGUCAUGCAAAAGUUAACCUAUAUUCAUGAUGCAUUACCUUCUACCAUCCACUCUUGAUCCUUUCAAGAUUCUAAACAACUCUGCGACAUUCCUCCAAUUAAUGCUUGAAUUGUUUCCACCACCAAAGUUGAAAACAACUGCAGAAACACAAGAUUAUCGUGAAUUAGUUUGCACCAGCCAAAUUCAUGACAUGUGCGACAAAGUCAACAACAACCGCUGCAAGAUAGGGCGUACGUGAACCAUGCUUUGUCCGGUUCCGUUGCUGAGCUGCGAGAGAAGUUCGUCGCCGCUGCCACCAAGCCUCCAUGGGCCAGCCGCCCAUUGAUGCGCUGAAUCACAAGGCGGUGGUCGUCCGCGGGGUGCCGCCCAUGUGCACGUGCUCCAACAUCACCAGAACGAAGCAAACCUGAACGAAAUAGCGCCGCCGGCCAUCCUGCCUCCUGCCCUCUCAUGUUCCAGCAGCCCACUGUCCCUCCCAGCCUUGCUUGUUCAUCACCAAGAGGUGGAGGAAGAGCCUGCCCAUGUCGUACAUGCCAGGCGGUGCUUUGGAUCUGUACACAAUCCAUGGAUCCCCCAUCGGCCGCGAUACAGAUGGAGAGCAGAUCACAAGGUAGCGUGGAGAUGGGGUGUUGGUGUGGGAUGGCGUGCACUGGUGGCGAUGAUUGUUGGGAGGAGGAAGACGAGAUUGGGAGCGAGGGGUUGGGGAGAGGUGGAGCGGUACAUGUUUAUAUUGCGGCAAUUUGUUCUCCUUUGUUUCGAGAGACAAUGGGUGGGAGAGUGGGCACGUUUUUCGGGUUGGCUUUCUCAUGCGUGAACCACGCUUUGUCCGGUUCCGCUGGUGAGCUGCGAGAGAAGUUCGUCGCCGCUGCCACCAAGCCUCCAUGGGCCAGCUGCCCAUUGAUGCGCUGAAUCACAAGGCGGUGGUCGUCCGCGGGGUACCGCCCAUGUGCACGUGCUCCAACAUCACCAGAACGAAGCAAAACUGAACGAAAUAGCGCCGCCGGCCAUCCUGCCUCCUGCCCUCUCCUGUUCCAGCAGCUCACCGUCCCUCCCAGCCUUGCUUGUUCAUCACCAAGAGGUGGAGGAAGAGCCUGCCCAGGUCGUACACGCCAGGCGGUGCUUUGGAUCUGUACACAAUCCAUGGAUCUCCCAUCGGCCGCGAUAUAGAUGGAGAGCAGAUCACAAGGUAGCAUGGAGAUGGGGUGUUGGUGUGGGAUGGCGUGCACUGGCGGCGAUGAUUGUUGGGAGAAGGAAGACGAGAUUGGGAGCAAGGGGUUGGGGAGAGGUGGAGCGGUACAUGUUUGUAUUGCGGCAGUUUGUUCUCCUUUGUUUCGAGAGACAAUGGAUGGGAGAGUGGGCACGUUUUUUGGGUUGGGUUUCUCGUGCGUGCGGGACGGGAUGACCGAAGGAGGAAUUUUUUUCUGCGUGCAAUCCAGGGAUGCGAGGAUGGUUGAACCAGCACGACGACGACAGAUCCCCUUCAAUAAUCGAGAUAAGGAAACUAAUUACAGUUUAUGGAUUGGUAAUGUCAUAAAUUUCAUCCUUUAGUGCUGCGAGCUCUCAAUCCAGCAACCGAUUUGUGCGAAAUAUAUGAUUAAGGGCAUGCCUAAACAAUGUUGGUUCUGGUAGGUAGAAAACCAACAUUUGGUAAUCAAAUUCACAUUUUGACCUAAAAGAUUCCCGUAAAUAAGACCAUGUUCACUGAUAGUAAAGUCGGCAGUAUAAUUUAGAGAAAUAAGAGAAACUAUCUUGGAACACCAUCUCGUCUAUGGCUCUAUCCUAUACAAUUGUUAAUAUUUUUUUAUAUCACUUGUUAUGCUACUGGAGAAAGAACACAAACUCAACCUUCCCUAUCUUAUCAUUUCUUUUUUAAAACGAUAUCGUGUCUUUCAAAGGACACAGUUCCAUAAAAGAGAAAUUCACACAAAGUAAAUUGAUGUUCCUAGAUGUACAGAAAUGGCAAAAGAGAAGCAUAACUAACCUCGCGUUGUUUGCAACAUUUGGCCCCCACGGCAGCCUGGGGGGUUUAAAGAUCCUGAUUUUAAACAGCCCAUAGAGUCACCGGCACCUUGCCCCAAAACCCGACCAUCACUCAUAACACCAUCGUCGUCCAUUGUCCUCUCCUGCUGCAUUCCUGGAUUGCAGUACAACUGAUCGUUGCACCUAAAAUAGCAGAAAUUCAUAACCUGAUAGCCUGAUAGACAGUCGGGCUGCAAGAGACGAACUCUAUGUCUCCAACGCCUAGGCUCUGUCUGACAGAUUUCAAAUUGAAAAACUUCUCCAAAUUAGAAAAAUCAUAGCAUAGGCUCCCCACACAUGGCUUCCUCAUGUCAUAAUACUGCAAAGAUGAGGUGAUCAAUCAGAAAACUUCAAAAAAAAAAGGAAGAACCAAAUAAAAUUUUGUAUUUUACCCUACAUUUUUGUUCCCGAUUAUCAACCUGAUGGAACUGAAUAUUGUAUUGCAAACAAAAUAGGCAGCAAGGCAAGAUACAGUGCCAGAGGUACCUGAAACAAAAGAUAAAAUUAAGUUCGAUACAUACAUGUUAUGAGGUAUAUCAGAGUUGGGAUUAUGCCUUUUCUUGUUUUCAAAAGAAAUUGGCACAACAAAUCAAGGAAUGAUGUUAAUGAACAGUGCCUCCAAGAGGCCAAAUUGACUAAUGCUAGAGAUUUACACACAAGCAAACCAGGAGUCUAGGAAUAAUUACCACAAAGCUUGACAACAAAUUCACAAGCAGGAACAACUUUAUUGAUCUUGUUAAAUUCUGACUGUGUGAUUAAACCCAUAUCCAAUGCAUAAUCGGUGUAUGCCUUAUACUGCAUCGCUGGAUCUGUAAGUCCGUUACCAAUCGCAAAACCGUGAAAAUUGAACAACAAGGGUGGAUUCCAGCGACAAAACCCUUUAUAACACAGAACAGUAUGGAUAAGCCAAGAAAGAGAUGACUAAACCUUCAAAUUGAUGUGAAUGCCCUCAUUGUCCUUGUUCCCCUUGUACACCCUAUUUGCAAAGGCAGGAAUGUAGUGCCCAGCAUAUUACUCCCCAGUUAUAUAGAAAUCGUUUUCAACAUACUCCGGGUGCUCCUUGAACAAGGCCUAUCAAAAUAGCAUGCAGAAAGACACAAUGAACUUACGAGAAAAAACACGGAAGGCCAUUUUUGCAUCUUUAUUGCAACUCAAAAAUAAGGGUAAUCACUCUGUUUCACCUCAACUUUUGCAUAACUAACCUUGUCGCCACAAUAGGAAGCACAUUAACAAUACAUAUGAUGCAUGUGUACUUCCUACUACAUAUGCUUACCGACCGGGAAUGCAUACCAUAAUAUUUCAAGUCCAUAAUACUUCCUCCGUUCCUAAAUACAAGUUUUUUUAGAGAUUUCAUUACGGGCUACAUAUGGAUAUAUAUAGAUAUACUUUAGAGUGUAGAUUCAUUCAUUUUGUUUCAUAUGUAGUUCGUAGUAGAAUCUCUAAAAAGAAUUAUAUUUAAGAACAGAGGGAGUAGUGAACAAGCAAGGGCUUAUCUUCAUUAAUGACAACAGGAGCAACUAUAAUUACCUGCAGGAAGUCAUAUAGGUCGUUGAUGACGCCCGCUUCAUUAUGGCGGGUAUCGUGCGAAUCGGAGCUGUAGCUGAACCCAGUCCCAGUUGGCCGAUCAACAUAGAUAAGAUUCGACUCCUGCAGCAGCCAAUAUCCAGUUCCAAAUAGAGAGAAGAUUAAUCAUACAGGGUUCUAAACCAACGAUCGAGGAGCAGAAUACAGUAUCCAAACAAUUGAUUUGUAAGAAAAAUACCACACGGAUUGGUUGAUUAGCACACACACUGCCUGUAUAUAUCUACCUGAUCCCAGCCAAACUCAUUCCAGAGCAGCGACAUGUUGUCCGCGAUGUAGAAGGGGCCAUUAUCGUAGAAGAGGGCUAGCUCGCUGCUGCAUCCGGGCCCUCCCGUCAGCGAGAUCACCACGGGGUCCUCCUUCUUGUGUCGCCUGGAUUCGAAGAAGAAGUAGAAGAGCCUACACGCAACAGUGGCAGAUGUCAAAGAUACAGGAACAAGAUCCUCACGAGCAAGGUAGUACGAAGGAAGAGGCCGACCGGAGACUGGACGAGUGAGCUCGCUCACCUGGCGUCGUGGGUGGUGGGGAGGUGGUAGUACCUGGCGUGGUUCCCGAGGUUGCUCACCGACGUGUUGCCGCCGCCGUCGUCUCCGACCACCAGGGACGCGAGGCGGAUCGGCCUCUCGAUGAUGGUUUCGGCAGGGAGAGCGUCGCCUCUGCUGACGCCGGCGUACCGGUCGAUGCGGUCCUUGAACUUGGAGAGGAAGAACUCGUGGUCGUCGCCGACCGACUGACCGAGGCAAUGCGCUGCUGCGCGUCCAGCUUGUCCGCGUUCACCUCCUUGGGCUCCCCCUCAGGCAUGGCCAGCACCGUCGUCCGUGCGCGAUCGUAGGUGGGCAGCUUCUCCAGCGCCGCCCAUCGCAGUGCCUGCUCGUCGUCCUCGUCCCACGACGACCGCGACCACGAGAACAGGUCGUCUCUGCCGCGCGACCACACCGAGCUCUCCUGACGCAGGCUGCGCCCGAACGCGCGGGGGAGGGGGCGGCACCGAGCGGAGCGGGGGCGGCCGCGAGCUCGCGGGGCGGGGGCGGNGCAUGCAUCUAGUGUAUUAAUUCCAUAAGAACAAAGUAACGCCUUAAGCAAGAUGACAUGAUGUAGAGGGAUAAUCUCAAACCAAUGAUAAAAACCCCAUCUUUUUACCCUUGAUGGCAACUACUUGAUGUGUGCCUUGCUGCCCCUACUGUCACUGGGAAAGGUCACCACAUGGUAGAACCCAAAACCAAGCACUUCUCCCAUUGCAAGAAUCAUAGAUCUAGUUGGACAAACAAAACCCAAGACUCGGAGAGACUUACAAGGAUAUCAAAUCAUGCAUAUAAGAAAUCAGCAAAGACUCAAAUAUAUAUCAUAGAUAAUCUGAUCACAAAUCCACAAUUCAUCGGAUCUCAACUAACACACCGCCAAAGAAGAUAACAUCGGAUAGAUCUCCAUGAAGAUCAUGGAGAACUUUGUAUUGAAGAUCCAAGAGAGAGAAGAAGCCAUCUAGCUACUAACUACGGACCCGUAGGUCUGAAGUGAACUACUCACGAGUCAUUGGAGGGGCGAUGAUGAUGAUGAAGAAGCCCUCCAACUCCAAAUUCCCCUCCGGCAGGGUGCCGGGAAGGGUCUCCAGAUGAGAUCUCGCGGAAACGGAAGCUUGCGGCGGCGGAAAAGUAUUUUCGAGGCUCCCCUGAUUUUUUGCGGAAUAUUUGGGAAUUUAUAGGCCAAAGACCUAGGUCAGGGGGCGGCCAGGGUGGCCACAAGCUUGCCCACCGCUGCCUCCGCCCUGGUGGCGUGUUGGCAGCUUGUGGGCUCCCUGGAGCCCACCUGGCUUGGCCCAAAGCCCCCCUGGUCUUCUUCCGUUCGGGAAAAAAUCAUUUUGGGGUUUUUAUUCCGUUUGGACUCCGUUCCAAAAUCAAAUCUGAAAAGAGUCAAAAAAACAGGAACUGGCACUUGGCACUGAAUCAAUAAGUUAGUCCCAAAAAAGAUAUAAAAGGUACAUAAAACAACCAAAGUAGACAAGAUAACAUCGUGAAACCAUCAAAAAUUAUAGAUACGUUUGAGACGUAUCAGCGGCCUUCCCGACCACAUCCGCGUGGCCGUCGAGAUGCGCGGACCGCAGGACCUCGAGACGGCUAUGUACUAUGCCGGCGCGUUCAAACAACGCACCGUCGCCAUGCAACAGUCGUUUUCGGCUCGGGCUCCUUGCCUACCCCCUCAGGUGCCCACGCCCGCGCCCAGCUGACCGACCCAGGCGGUGACAAGGUCUUCCACCAUUACUGCGCUUCGCCCGUUCCGUCGGCUCACCACAACCGAGCAGCACGAGCAUCGCCGCCAGGGGCUCUCCUUCAAUUGCAACGAACCCUACAUGCCGGGCCACGUUUGCCCACGCCUUUUCUACCGAGAGGCAGCGGACUACAUCGCAGAGGAUACAACCUCUCCUGAGCUGGCUGAGGAGACGCAACCGGCUGCUGCCACCGCCCUCGUUGUCUCCCUCCAUGCCUUCGGAGGCAUCCGUGUAGAAAAGACUAUGAUACUGCCAGUGACGGAUAAUGAGGAGCGCUCCUAGCUCUCAUAGACAUGUGCUCUACACACAACUUCUGCCUGAGGCUACCAUGAGUCGGCUGGCCCUUCAACCAACCGGCGUAGAGCAGGUCUAGGUUACUGUGGCUAACGAUGACCGUCUUCGCUGCCACGGGAUUGCACGGCAGGUUCCCAUCAUCAAUGGUAACGAGCGCUUCGCCCUUACUUGCGUGGGCAUUGACUUGCGAUGCUUCGCCUUCAUCGUCGGCGUGGAUUUCUUGCGAACCCUUGGUCCCAUCCUUUGGGACUUUGACGCCCUAACCAAGACUUACUGGUGCCAAGGCCACAAGGUGCAGUGGAAGGGUGAGGGUGGCGCGUCGUCGGCAGUUUCCCCACCAUAGUUGUCGAUAGCAACCGCCGAUUCAGAGCUGCCCCUGUUGGCCCAUCUCCUGCAGCAGCACAACGAUCUCUUCGACGAGCCCCAGGGCAUUCCGCUCGCCUGAGUCUGCGACCAUCGCAUUCACCUUCUUCCAGGUACAACGCAUGUCGCCAUCCAGCCAUAUCACUACCCACAACUUUAGAAGGACGAGCUGGAACGACAGUGCGCACUCAUGCUCGCCUUGGGCAUCAUCCGGAUCUCUACUUCGUCGUUCUCGGCCUCGGUGCUCCUCCUUCACAAGCCCGAUUGCUCAUGGCGCGUCUGCAUCAACUACCGUGCUCUCAACGCCGCAAGCUCAAAGGACCAAUUUCCCAUACCGGUAGUGGAGGAGCUCCUGGACGAGCUUCACAGGGCCCGCUUCUUCACUAAGAUCGACUUGCAUUUGGGUUAUCAUCAGGUUCGAUGCACCUGGACGACAUCGCGAAGACGGCGUUUCGCACUCAUCAUGGCCACUUCUAGUUUUUGGUGAUGUGUUUCGGCCUCUCUAAUGCACCGGCGACAUUCUAUGCCUUGAUGAACGACGUACUCCGACCCUACUUGCGACGGUUUUUGCAUGUUUUAUUUGAUGAUAUUCUCAUGUAUAGCUCCUCUUGGGCAGAGCACUUGUAGCACGUCACCAUCAUCUUCAAUAAGCUUCAGGUGCACCAACUCCACCUUAAACACCCGAAGUGCUCGUUUGGCACGACAUCCGUCGCAUAUCUUGGCCACGUCAUUUCAGCGGAGGGAGUCGCCAUGGAUGACGACAAGAUCGCGGCUCUCGCCUUUGGCCAACACCGCACUAACCGCAGGCCCUCCACGGAUUCUUGGCUCUGGCCGGCUACUACCGGAAGUUUAUCCGAGAGUUUGGCCUUCUGGCCGCGCCGCUCACACGGCUGCUGCGCCGUGACGCCUUCUCAUGGGACAAGGAGGCAGCUAGCGCCUUCCAGUCACUAAAGGAUGCUCUUACUACCGAUCCGGUCCUCGAGAUGCCAGAUUUCGAGCAGCCGUUCAUGGUUGACUGUGAUGCGUCCGGAGUGGGUUUUGGUGUUGUUCUUCACCAGGGCACGGGACCGCUCGCUUUCUUCAUCCGGCCAUUUGCCGCACGUCACCGUAAGCUCGCGGCCUACAAGCAGGAGCUUAUCAGUUUGGUAUAGGCGGUGCGACACUGACGACAUAUCUCUGGGGGCGACACUUCCUGAUUCGCAAUCACCUCGUUCGUCUUCAUCGACGACAUUCGCCGUGCCACUACCACGGCCACUGAUGCUCAGCUUCUUAGGAAGCGGCUUGCGGAGGGCGACUUGCUGGUGAUGUGGCGAAUCGAUGACGAGUUACACAUCCACGGUAGGCGCAUCUUUGUGCCCGAUCACGACGAUCUUCGCCACCAAGCGAUUCUCUUGGCGCACUCAGCCAGCCAACUAUAGGAAUCUGAGAAUUUGUCGUCUGCCAUGGCAGACGGCAAAGGGGGGAACCACGGACGGCAAAGGCUUUGCCGUCCGUCAGCAGACGGCAAAAAAAUAUCUGGUGAAGAGGUUCUUUGCCGUUUGCUUUUGUAAGGCGGACGUCAAAGAAUCUUUGCCAUGAGGGGGCAGACGGCAAAUUAAAUGGGACGGCAAAUCCAUAGAUGGUCCCGUUAAGUGUUAACGGCAUGCCUCCCCUCUUUGCCGUCUGCCCCCCCCCCCUUUGCCAUGAGGGGCCUGACGGCAAAGGGGGGACCCAGUCCCUCUCUCUCCCCUCUUNNNNNNNNNNNNNNNNNNNNNNNNNNNNNNNNNNNNNNNNNNNNNNNNNNNNNNNNNNNNNNNNNNNNNNNNNNNNNNNNNNNNNNNNNNNNNNNNNNNNNNNNNNNNNNNNNNNNNNNNNNNNNNNNNNNNNNNNNNNNNNNNNNNNNNNNNNNNNNNNNNNNNNNNNNNNNNNNNNNNNNNNNNNNNNNNNNNNNNNNNNNNNNNNNNNNNNNNNNNNNNNNNNNNNNNNNNNNNNNNNNNNNNNNNNNNNNNNNNNNNNNNNNNNNNNNNNNNNNNNNNNNNNNNNNNNNNNNNNNNNNNNNNNNNNNNNNNNNNNNNNNNNNNNNNNNNNNNNNNNNNNNNNNNNNNNNNNNNNNNNNNNNNNNNNNNNNNNNNNNNNNNNNNCUCUCUCUCCCCUCUUUGUCGUCUGCCCCCGCCCCUUUGCCAUGAGGGGACUGAUGGCAGAGGGGGGACCCAGCCCCUCUCUCCCCUCUUUGCCGUCUUCCCUCACCCCUUUGCCAUGAGGGGGUUGACGGCAAAGGGGGGACCCAACCCCUCUCUCUCCCCUCUUUGUCGUCUGCCCUCACCCCUUUGCCAUGAGGGGGCACACGGCAAAGGCUGAAAACAGCCCCUUUUUAUUUUAUUUCCUAUUAUAUCCAUCAAUUUUCACAAUAAUCGGGAUAUAUACUUGUAUAUAUUUGACAAAAAUAAAUUUGUUCCGUACUCAUAACCAUAUUAAAAUAACUUUCAUCCAUAGUACAUACAUAUUAUGCAAGUUGCAUCCGUACCAAACCAUAUAUUACACCAGUUUCAUCCAUGCAUACAAAGUUUCAUAUAUAUCCAUAUACUACAAUAAUUUCAAUACAAGCUUCCGUGAAGCCAUGGUACAAGAAAUCAUAUUCAAGCAUUCCAUCAAUAUAAUCCAAGCUUGUCGUGAAGUGAAUGUAAUCUGCAAAAUGACAAAUAAGAAAGUUAGAAGAAGAAUACUAGAUGAAGAAGUGUAUAUAGGUUAUUUCGGAUAGAACUUAGCUAAGUAUAGGCUAUUUAAUAGCUAAGUUAGGUGGAAUAGGUCAUCUUGGAGCUACAUAGCCUUAUUACGUCAUUUAGGAGAGAACUUAACUAAGUACAGGUCAUUCUAGAGCUAACUUGGAUAAAAUAUGUCAUUUUGUAGCUAACUAUGAUUAUUAAUCCAUUUUGACCUUAUUAUGUCAUUUUGGAGCUAAAUUAGUCAUUUUAAUGAGCUAACCAAGGUUCUUAUUAAAUUUUUACCUAACUAUGCUAAUUAUGCCAUUUUGGAGGAUAAUAAGCUAAGUAUGUCUUUGUUGGGGAAAAUAACCUACGUAGUAGAAGAAAGAGAAGAAGCAAGAAGAGAAGAAGCAAGAAGAGAAGAAGAAGGAGAAGAAAAAGAAGAAGAAGAAGAAGAAAAAGAAGAAGGAGGAGGAGGAGGAGAAGGAAGAGGAGAAGAAGAAGAAAAGAAGAAGGACAAGAAGAAGGAGAAGAAGGAGAAGGAGCUUCUCGCCUCCUUCUCCUUCUUCUUCCUCCUUCUCCUUCUCCUUCUCCUUCUUCUUCUCUUCUUCUUCCACUAGUGGGGACAGGGCCUUUUUCUACUAGUGUUCUCCUCUUCUUCUUCUUCUUCUUCUUCCUUCUUCUUCUUCUUCUUCCUUCUUUUCAAUUUCCCUCUUUCUUCUCCUCAUGUCCCCUUCUUCGGGCUAAAUUAGCUAAUUAUGCAUUUUUGGAGCUAAUUAUGUCAUUUUGAGGAUAAUUAGCUAAGUAUAGGUCAUGUUUUAUUAAAUAGACCAUUUUGGACCUAACUAAUCUAAUUAUGUCAUUUAGGUGGAAGCCUGGCUAACUAUAGGUCAUUUCGGAGCUAACUUGGGUAAAACAUGUCAUUCUAGACCAAACUAUGCUUAUUAAGCCAUUUUGGAUCUAGCUAAGCUAAUUAUAGGCCAUUUAAUACAUAAGUUAGGGGGAAUAGGUCAUCUUGGAGCUAAGUUAGCCUUAUUAUGUCAUUUAGGAGAGAACUUAGCUAAGUAUAGGUCAUUUUUUAUUAAAUAGGUCAUUUUGGAGCUAACUAAGCUAAUUAUGUCAUUUAGGUGAAAGCCAAGCUAACUAUAUGUUGUUUUGGAGCUAACUUGGGUUAAAUAUGUCAUUUUGGAGGUAACUAUGCUUAUUAAGUCAUAUUGGAGCUAAAUUGGCUAAUUAUAUCAUUUAGGUGGAAGCCAAGCUAAGUAUAUAAUAUUCAUGAGCUAACCAAGGUUCUUAUGCCAUUUUGAGCUUAUUAUUUCAUUUUUGAGCUAAAUUGGUCAUUUUAAUGAGCUAACCAAGGUUCUUAUGAUGUUUUCACCUAACUAAGCUAAUUAUGUCAUUUAGCCAAUUUAGUCUUUGUUGGAUGAGUCUAAGCUACGUAGAAGUAGAGAAAGAGAAGAAGCAAGAAGAGAAGAAGAAGGAGAAGUAAAAGAAGAAGGAGGAGGAGGAGAAGGAGGACGAGAAGGAGAAGGAAGAGGAGAAGAAGAAGAAAAGAAGAAGGAGAAGAAGAAGGAGAAGAAGGAGGAUAAGAAGGAGAAGGAGCUUCUCUCCUCCUUCUCCUUCUUCUCCUUCUUCUUCCUCCUUCUCCUUCUCCUUUCUUGUUCUCUUCUCCUUCUCUUCUUCUUCUUCUUCUUCCUUCUUUUCAAUUUUCCUCUUUCUUCUCCUCUUUUCCCCUUCUUCGGGCUAAAUUAGCUAAUUAUGCCUUUUUGGAGCUAAUUAUGUCAUUUUGAGGAUAAUUAUCUAAGUAUAGGUCAUGUUUUAUUAAAUAGACCAUUUUGGACCUAACUAAGCUAAUUAUGUCAUUUAGGUGGAAGCCUAGCUAACUAUAGGUCAUUUCGGAGCUAACUUGGGUAAAAUAGGUCAUUUCUGAGCAAACUAUGCUUAUUAAGCCAUUUUUGAUCUAGCUAAGCUAAUUAUAGGCCAUUUAAUACCUAAGUUUGGUGGAAUAGGUCAUCUUGGAGCUACGUAAGCCUUAUUAUGUCAUUUAGGAGAGAACUUAGCUAACUAUAGGUCAUUUUUUAGUAAAUAGGUCAUUUUGGAGCUAACUAAGCUAAUUAUGUCAUUUAGGUGGAAGCCAAGCUAACUAUAUGUCGUUUUGGAGCUAACUUGGGUUAAAUAUGUCAUUUUGGAGCUAACUAUGCUUAUUAAGCCAUAUUGGACUAUUAUGCGGUUGUUCAGCAAAACACUAGAAAUAACAUACCAUUAUCGUCAUCACGACGGUGAAGCACGGUGGCUCUGGCUUGUUUCACCUGGAGAAGGCUGUCCUGGAGAAGGCUCCACUGUAGAUGGAUCGUGCGAUGCGUUUCGGGAGAUAUUCUGCACCAAACAUCGUUUGCAAUGUGUCGUUAGCAUGAGGACACUCUUUAAGAACACUGCACUAAAAUGAAACUCACCGUCCCCGCCAUGUUAAUGACUGGCAUCGCCGGAGGAACUUGGCCGGUCUUCUCGCACAUAGACUGUACAUUUGGUUUCGACAAGUCAAACUUUUUAGUUAUUAAUGAAACGAACAUUAAAUGCAAGAUUUGAAAUAAUAUGAAGAAGAAACUUACCACGAAGAGCUCGUAUAUGGCCCUGUUAGACGCAUCAUUCUGUGCCCUCUCCGCCUCCACCAAUGCAGUGGUCCUCUCCUCCAGCUCCCUCAUCUCCUUAUCCUUCUCCGCCAAAGCUGCCUGCAUUGCUUCUCUCUCUUUCAGAAUAGCAGCCUGCAACACAACUCAUUUUUAGCAUUGUAAUCAUAUUGGUUCCAACGCACAACAUAAUACGGAAAGAUAGUUGAGUCCAUUAAACUAACCUCAAUGGUGAGCUCGACUGGCCGUGGACGAGAUGUUAUCUCAGGACAGGAGCUCGUUUGGCGUGCCUUUAUCUGCCGGAGAGUGCUAGGACAACGUAUAAGGCCGUCUCCAAUGGCGAUCGAGCCAUGGGGCCUCGCGUUGCCAGCUAUCAUCACCAGCUCUGGAUCAAUAUGCCUCUCGCUUGGGUUAAAGUCCUCCCCUUUCCUCGCCUUCCCGUGAUCUCUGUACUUCACAAGCUUGGGGUGGAAGGAUAUGUUGGUGAAGUUUUCUGGAUGCUCGAGGUCAGACUCAGAGAAUGCCUUGACCUUCUUUUACGAGGCAGUAUGGGCCAUCGCAUACAGGUUGUACAUCUGUGGCACCUCCGUCUUAUUGUGAUGCGCCUAAAAGAGAGAGAGAGGAAAAUUGUAUUAGUAAAGGGCUCAAGAUAGCAUUAAGAAUGAAUUGCAUGAGGCAUGAGGCAUGAAGCAAACCACAUACCCAGUUCUCGCCAAAUUGGAUUAAGUUGACGCUCCCUCGAUGGUGUGGCACACCAACCAUUUUGCCACGCCUCUCCUUGGCGUUGUUGUGGCUGGCCUCCCACGUUUCGGAGCACCACUGAUCCACCAAGGCCUCCCAAAAAUCCAUCUUAUCCACACUCCAUCUUGGCGGCACCUAAGUUAAUAAAGAGAAAUUUGAGCGCGUAAGAACCAAAUCAAGGAAACUAACUACAAAGCCUUAAUAAUAUGUAAUUACCUUCAUGUAAUGCUCCUUCUCCAUCUUAGAAUCACGGCACUUCGCCUUGUCCUUCCUAAUACGCCGCGAGGCAUAGUAGUCUCGAACAGCAUGCACCCGAGCCUCGUGCCGAAAGUUUUGAAGUAGGCGGCGACAUUCGGUUUCGAUAACCUUUGCCGCGUCCUCCUUGUAUCCCUCCUCACACAUGUAGUAGGUCUGCAAACGAGACAACACCAAUUAGUACAAUAACUAGCUAUGGUUGAUUUAUAAUUGUGUGAACGAGAAAUUACCCAGAACUAUCGGAUCACCAUGUCGGCCCUCGUGUGGCACAAAACACCGUCGAUCUCCACCUCCGGCGGGGCUGGGGCAGCCAAGUAGUGCCCCCAGGUCAUUCCUACCUCUCGCUCCCGGCCGGGCAAUGUAACAAACCCUGGGAAGUUUUGACGGCAAAGCACACCAAGGACGUUUUUGGGCUUGCGGACACCCUUGGCAACAAUCCAACCCCUGAAGUAUGACAAAUUAAAGCCAAAACAUUAGAUAUUUGAGAAAACGUGAAGGCAAAAGGUUAAAUAAGAGUAAAUUAACUUACUUGUCCCCAUUUGGCUUAAUCGACCACCUCUGCUCGCGGGUCGACGGCACGAGCGGGAGCCCCGAACUACCAUGCUGGUAGACGGUAGCCCCUCACCCAGCUCCUCGUCGCUAUUAGUAUGGCCAAUUGGCUCAGCCCAGGUAUCCCACUGGGUCUCUGGGGACGUACCCUCAUCCCUGCUUUGCUCCGGAGUCGCCUGGAACGAAGCCUCUGGGACACGAGUCUCGUGGGUCGAAGGCUCGUCGAUCCGAGGCUUGUGAACCGGAGACCGUGUAGCCUCCACCUCAGACGAAUCCACCCUAGAAGUCCUGUGCUCAGAUGAAUCAGCUUGGGGUGGUGGCGGAGACCGUGUAGCCUCCACCUCAGAAGGCGUGGAAGCCACCGCCCUACCUCUCCCGCGCCACGUGUACCUUUAGUACAACAUAAAUACCAACAUGAGUAAUAAAAUGUAUAUAAAUACCAACAUGCAUACAACAUGAGUACAACACAAAUACUAACAUGAAUACAACGUGUACCUUUAGUACCUCUCGGCUUCGCGGGGGGUCGACCUCCUCUCACGGGGGGCGCUCCAUGCAGAGUAGAGAGCAACACUCUCCGAAGAGGUGAGGCAGGAAUGGAAGUACCCAUCCCACCACCCGAUGACGAAGAAGGAGCUGCGGAGUGCUUUCGACCCUUUCCCACCAUCUUUCAACACGUGUCGUGACAAAGAGUAAAUGAAAUUAGUACAACAUAAAUACCAACAUGAGUAAUAAAAUGUAUAUAAUUUAAGUGUAUCAUCGUCAUAAAUACCAACAUGACUAAUAAAAAUUGAAUACCUAACAUGAACUCAAAAUUUAUAUAUAGUAAUAGUUGAAUACCUGACAUGAACUAAUAACAAUCGUGCUCGUCUAUAUAUGCUUCGGGGUCAAUAAAUGUAGCAUGAUCAUCACUAUCAUAAAUAAAUGCAUCAUCAUCAUCACUAUCAGGAAGAACAUGUGGAAGGCCACCAUUAUGUAAUCGGUCAACAAGUGACAGGUCAUCCGCAGCAGUAACCUCUUCUUCUUCCAGCUCUUCCUGUUUGGGUUCAGGGGUUAAGACGGAUUCACUGUCGCUGUCUACUUCAAUGUUCUGGGGUGAAGUAGAGCGAUUCUUGAAACGUUUCUUGGACAUACGUAUCAUCGGCACGAAGACCGGAACACAGCAAAUUAAGGGGGUAGGAGAAGUCAUUUGUGCUUACCAACAAACGCAGGGGCGUAGCUCGUCCAACGCACGUGGAGGUCGUCAAACAACUACACAUUGAAAUUCACACGAUCAACACUAAUAUGAUGUUUUUAUAAUUAACAUAAUCAGAAAAUAUGUGGCCUAACUCAUAAUUUACAAAACUAUGACCCCCGUCGGCUUGUGGAAGGCCGAAAAGCACCAUCUCGUUCAACCGGAGGCAGAAGAGUUGUCUGGGGUCGGGGGUUAGUGGCGCCGGGAGUCAGUGCCGUCAGGGUCGGUGGUGUCGGGUGUCGGUGGCAUCGGAGUUCGGGGGUUAGUGGCCUCGAUGGUCGGGGGUCAGUGUCGUCGGGGGUCCAGGGUCAGUGGCGUCGGGGGUCGAUGGUCGGUGGACUUUUCGGUCAACAAGAGGCCGAAGAGGUGUCACAGGUCGGGGGUUGGGGUCAGUGGCAUCGGGGGCGGCGUAUUAACAGCUGCAUCGAGUUUUCUGCCAGGGUGUCGUCAGGAUGUCGUGUCGGGGUUUCGGGCAUCGUGUCGGGGUGUGGGGGUAUGAGGGUGUCAUUUUCUUCUUCUUCAUCUUUUUUUUCCUCCUCUUCCUUUUCUUCUUCUUCUUCCUUCCUUCCUUCCUUUUCUUCUUCUUCUUCNNNNUCUUCUUCUUCUUCUUCCUUCUUUUCCACCUCCCUCUUCUUCUUCUUCUUCCUUCUUUUCCUUUUUCGUCUUCUUCAUUCUUCUCCUCUCUCCUCUUUUUCUUCUUCUUCUUCUUCUUCUUCUUCUUUUUAUCCUCCUCCCCCUCCUCUUCUUCUUAUUCUUCUUCCCUUAUCUACUUAUUCUUCUUUUAUUCUACCUAGCACUAAUUAACAAAAUAGAAUCUACCUCUAAAUUAACAAAUAACAAAUAACCUAGCUAAAUCAACUAAAUCAAUCAACUAACUCAAUUAACUAAAUCUAAUCAAAUAACAAAAAACAAAAAACAAAAAACAAACUCACCUCUAAUAGGAGGGCAGUGGGUGAUACGUCCAUUUUGCAUCAUGUUUUCAUGUUGAUAUUUAUCGCUUCUUGGGCGGUUAUUUCACUUCACGGUACAAUACUUUUGCCUUUUUUCUCUUACUUUGCAAGGUUUACAAGAAGAGGGAGAAUGCUGGCAACUGGAAUUCUGGCCUGAAAAAGGAGCAAAGUUGAGAUACCUAUUCUGCGCAACUCGAAACGCUGUAAAAAUCACGAGGAUUUUUUUUCCUAAUUUAUUAAAAAUACUAGGCCGAAGAUGCGCCAGAGGGGCGCCAGCAGGUGGCCACAAGCCUGCUUGGCGCGGCCACCCCCCUGGCCGCGCCAAGGGGGCUUGUGGGCAGCCUGCUGGCCCACUGGCCCCCUCUUCUGCUAUAUGAAGGGUUUCGUCCAGAAAAAAACCAGGGAGGAGCUUUUUCGUGGAUUCGCCGCCGCCACGAGGCGGAACUUGAGCAAAACCAAUCUAGAGCUCCGGCAGGACGAUCCUACCGGGGAAACUUCCCUCCCAGAGGGGGAAAUCGUCGUCAUCGUCAUCACCAACACUCCUCUCAUUGGAGGGGACUCGUCACCAUCAACAUCUUCAUCAUUACCAUCUCAUCUCCAAACCCUAGUUCAUCACUUGUAACCAAUCUCCGUCUCGCGACUCCGAUUGCUACAUGUAAGGUUGCUAGUAGUGUUGAUUACUCUUUGUGGUUGAUGCUAGUUGGAUUAUUUGGUGGAAGAGUCCAUGUUGAGAUCCUUGAUGCUACUCAUUACCUCUCUGGUCAUGAAUACGAUUAUGCUUUGUGAGUAGUUACUUUUGUUCCUGAGGACAUGGGAUAAGUCAUGCUAAUAGUAGUCAUGUGAAUUUGGUAUUCGUUCGGUAAUUUGAUGUGUUGUAUGUUGUUUUUCCUCUAGUGGUGUUAUGUGAACGUCGACUACAUAACACUUGACCAUUAUUUGGGCCUAGAGGAAGGCAUUGGGAAGUAGUAAGUAGAUGAUGGGUUGCUAGAGUCACAGAAGCUUAAACCCUAGUUUAUGUGUUGCUUCGUAAGGGGCUGAUUUGGAUCCACUAGUUUAAUGCUAUGGUUAGAAUUUGUCUUAAUUCUUCUUUCGUAGUUGCGGAUGCUUCUGGGAGGGGUUAAUCACAAGUGGGAUGCUUGUCCAAGUUAGGGCAGUACCCAAGCGCCGGUCCACCCACAUAUCAAACUAUCAAAGUAACGAACGCGAAUCAUAUGAACAUGAUGAAAACUAGCAUGACAGAAAUUCCCGUGUGUCCUCGGGAGCGUUUUUCCUCCUAUAAGACUUUGUCCAGGCUUUCCCGUUGCUACAAAAGGGAUUGGGCCACUUUGCUGCACCGUUGCUACUUUUGUUACUUGUUGCUUGCUACGAAUCAUCUCACCACACAAUCACUUAUUACCGAUAAUUUCAGUGCUUGCAGAUAUUUCCUUGCUGAAAACCACUUGUCAGAUCCUUCUGCUCCUUGUUGGGUUCGACCCUCUUACUUAUUGAAAGGACUACGAUAGAUCCCCUGUACUUUUGGGUCAUCAAGACUCUUUUCUGGCGCCGUUGCCGGGGAGUGAAGCGCCUUUGGUAAGUGGAACUUGGUAAGGAAACAUUCAUAUAGUGUGCUGAAAUUUAUUGUCACUUGUCACUAUGGAUACUAAUCCUUUGAGGGGCUUGUUCGGGGUAUCUUCACCUCGAACAGAAGCACCAAUAGUUUCUCCUCAACCUGCUGCACCUACUGAAAAUAUCUGCUUUCAAUUUCCUUCGGGUAUGCUUGAGAAACUGCUGGCUAAUCCUUUUACAGGAGAUGGAACAUCACAUCCAGACUUGCAUCUAAUCUAUGUAGAUGAAGUUUGUGGUUUAUUUAAGCUUGCACAUUUUCCCGAGGAUGAGGUCAAGAAGAAGGUCUUUCCUUUAUCUUUGAAGGAUAAGGCGUUGACAUGGUAUAUGCUAUGUGAUGAUACUAGAUCAUGGGACUACAAUCGAUUGAAAUUGGAAUUUCAUCAAAAGUUUUAUCCUAUGCAUUUAGUACAUCAUGAUCGGAAUUAUAUUUAUAACUUUUGGCCUCGUGACAGAGAAAGCAUCGCUCAUGCUUGGGGAGGCUUAAAUCAAUGCUAUAUUCAUGCCCCAAUCAUGAGCUCUCGAGAGAAAUUAUCAUUCAGAACUUGUAUGCUCGGCUUUCUCAUGAUGAUCGCACCAUGCUUGACACUUCUUGUAUCGGUUCUUUUGUGAAGAGAGAUAUUGACUUCAAAUGGAAUUUAUUGGAGAGAAUUAAACGCAGCUCUGAAGAUUGGGAGCUGGAAGAAGGUAAGGAGUCAGGUAUGAAUUUCACGUUUGAUUGCGUUAAAUCCUUUGUUGAGACAAAUACCUUUAGUGAUUUUAGUGCUAAGUAUGGACUUGACUCUGAGAUAGUAGCUUCAUUGUGUGAAUCUUUUGCUACUCAUAUUGAUCUCCCCAAAGAGAAGUGGUUUAAAUAUCAUCCUCCUUUAGAAGUCAAUGUAGUUAAACCCAAUCCAGUUGAAGAGAAAGUCAUUGCCUAUAAUGAUCAUGUUGUUCCCACUGCUUACACUGAGAAACCACCUUUCCUUGUUAGGAUAAAGGAUCAUUCUAAAGCUUCAAGUGUGAUAUGUAGAGGCUAUAUUAGAACACCUACACCCCCUGAGCAAAUUAGAGUUGAACCUAGCAUUGCUAUCAUCAAAGAUCUUCUGUCCGACGAUGUUGAGGGACAUAAUAUUCACUUUUGUGAAGAUGCUGCUAGAAUUGCUAAACCUCACGCUAGAGACAAACAUAGGCCUGUUGUUGGCAUGCCUGUUGCUUGUGUUAAGAUAGGAGAUCAUUGUUAUCAUGGCUUAUGCGACGUGGGAGCUAGUGUUAGUGCAAUACCUGAAUCCUUAUAUGAUGAAAUCAAAGAAGAGAUUGCACCUGUUGAGAUAGAGCCUAUGAAAGUCACUAUUCAGCUUGCCAAUAGAGAUACUAUCUGCCCUGUGGGAAUUGUAAGGGAUGUUGAAGUCUUGUGUGGUAAAACAAAGUAUCCUGCUGAUUUCCUCGUUGUUGCAACCGCACAAGAUAGAUUUUGUCCCAUAAUAUUUGGUAGAUCCUUUCUCAAUACUGUCAAUGCUCAUAUUGAUUGUGAGAAGCAAACUGUCACUAUUGGCUCUGAAGGUGUGUCACAUGAGUUCAAUUUCUCUAAGUUUGGUAGACAACCUCAUGAAAAGGAGUUGCCUAGUAGGGAUGAAACUAUUGCCUUAGCCUCUAUUGCCAUGCCUCCUACUGAUCCCUUAGAGCAAUACUUGCUUGAGCAUGAAAAUGAUAUGCAUAUGGAUGAAAGGGAUGAGAUAGAUAGAGUUGUCUUAGAACAAUAUCCCAUCCUUAAGAAUAACUUGCCUGUUUACUGCUUGGGGAUCCACCCCCACCAAAGGGUGAUCCUGUGUUCGAGCUUAAACAGCUGCCUGAUACUCUUAAGUAUGCUUAUCUUGAUGAAAAAGAGAUCUAUCCUGUUAUUAUUAGUGCUAGCCUCUUAGAGCAUGAAGAAAAUAAGUUACUAAAAACUCCGAGGAAGCACCGUGCUGCUAUUGGGUAUACUCUUGAUGAUCUUAAGGGCAUUAGUCCUACUCUAUGCCAGCACAAGAUUAAAACUGAUCCUGACUUCAAACUAGUUGCUGAUCAUCAAAGGAGAUUGAAUCCUAAGAUGAAAGAAGUAGUAAGAAAAGAAAUACUAAAGCUCCUGGAAGAAGGUAUCAUCCAUCCUGUUGCUCAUAGUGAUUGGGUGAGUCCGGUGCAUUGCAUCCCUAAGAAGGGAGGCAUUACCGUUGUCCCUAAUGAUAAGGAUGAAUUGAUCCCACACAGGAUUAUUACUGGCUAUAGGAUGGUGAUCGAUUUUAGGAAAUUGAAUAAAGCCACUAGGAAAGAUCAUUACCCUUUGCCUUUUAUCGACCAAAUGCUAGAAAGACUGUCUAAACACACACACUUCUGCUUUCUAGAUGGUUAUUCUGGUUUCUCCCCAAUACCAGUUGCAUAAUCUGAUCAGGAGAAAACCACUUUCACCUGCCCUCUCGGUACCUUUGCCAAUAGACGUAUGCCUUUUGGCUUAUGUAAUGCACCUGACACCUUUCAAAGAUGUAUGAUGGCUAUAUUCUCUGACUUUUGUGAAAAUAUUGUUGAGGUUUUCAUGGAUGACUUCUCCGUUUACGGGUCUUCCUUUGAUGAUUGCCUCAGCAACCAUGAUCGAGUCUUGCAGAGAUGUAAAGACACCAAUCUUGUCUUGAAUUGGGAGAAGUGCCACUUUGUGGUUAAUGAAGGCAUCGUCUUAGGACAUAAAAUUUCUGAAAGAGGUAUUAGAGUCGAUAAGGCUAAGGUUGAUGCAAUCGAGAAAAUGCCAUAUCCCAUAGAUAUCAAAGGUAUAAGAAGUUUCCUUGGUCUCUGGUUUCUAUAGAAGGUCCAUUAAAGACUUCUCUAAGAUUUCUAGGCCUCUUACCAAUCUCUUGCAAAAGGAUAUUCCUUUUGUCUUUGAUGAUGAUUGUGAGGAAGCCUUCGAAAUACUUAAGAGGGCUUUGAUAACCGCACCUAUUGUUCAACCACAUGAUUGGAACUUGCCGUUUGAAAUCAUGUGUGAUGCUAGUGAUUAUGUUGUUGGUGUUGUUCUAGUGCAAAGAGUUGACAAGAAGUUGAAUAUUAUUCAUUAUGCUAGUAAAACUCUAGACAGUGCCCAAAGAAACUAUACCACUACGGAAAAGGAGUUUUUAGCAGUCGUGUUUGCAUGUGAAAAGUUCAGGUCUUACAUAGUUGAUUCCAAAGUCACUAUUCACACCGAUCACGCUGCUAUUAAGUACCUCAUGGAGAAGAAGGACGCUAAACCUAGACUUAUCAGAUGGGUUCUCUUGCUACAAGAAUUUGAUUUGCACGUUGUCGACAGAAAGGGUGCUGAUAACCCCGUAGCAGAUAACUUGUCUAGGUUGGAGAACGUUCUUGAUGACCCACAACCUAUUGAUGAUAGCUUUCCCGAUGAGCAAUUGAAUGUCAUCAAUAAUUCAAGUAGUGCACCGUGGUAUGCUGAUUAUGCAAACUAUAUCGUUGCCAAAUAUAUACCACCUACUUUCACAUACCAGCAAAAGAAGAAAUUCUUCUUUGACUUGAGACUUUACUUCUGGGAUGAUCCUCACCUUUAUAAGGAAGGAUAAGAUGGUGUUAUUAGACAUUGUGUACCUGAACAUGAACAGGGACAUACCCUACAGAAGUGUCACUCCGAGGCCUACGGAGCACACCAUGCGGGAGAUAGAACUGCACACAAGGUAUUGCAAUCAGGUUUCUAUUGGCCCACUCUCUUUAAGGAUGACCGUAAGUUUGUCUUGUCUUGUGACGAAUGUCAAAGAGUAGGCAAUAUCGGUAAACGUCAGGAAAUUCCUAUGAACUAUUCACUUGUCAUUGAAUCAUUUGAUGUUUGGGGUUUUGAUUAUAUGGGACCUUUUCCAAAAUCCAAUGGAUAUACUCAUAUCCUAGUUGUUGUUGAUUACGUCACUAAGUGGGUAGAAGCUAUCCCCACUAGUAGUGCUGAUCAGAAAACCUCUAUCAGGAUGCUUAAAGAAGUUAUUUUUCCUAGAUUUGGAGUCCCUAGAUAUCUAAUGACCGACGAUGGUUCACACUUCAUUCAUGGUGCUUUCCGUAAAACGCUUGCUACGUAUGAUGUCAACCAUAGAAUUGUGUCUCCCUAUCACCCUCAGUCCAGUGGUCAAGUAGAGCUAAGCAAUAGAGAAAUUAAACUGAUUCUGCAAAAGACUGUCAACGGGUCUAGAAAGAAUUGGUCUAAGAAGCUCGAUGAUGCCCUGUGGGCUUAUAGAACUGCCUACAAGAAUCCCAUGGGCAUGUCUUCGUACAAAAUGGUGUACGGUAAAGCCUGUCAUUUACCUCUUGAGUUAGAGCAUAAAGCUUAUUGGGCAAUCACAGAACUCAACUUUGAUUUCAAACUUGCCGGUGAGAAGAGGUUAUUUGAUAUUAGCUUGCUUGAUGAAUGGAGAACUCAGGCAUAUGAGAAUGCCAAGUUUUUCAAAGAGAAGGUUAAGAGGUGGCAUGAUAAGAGGAUACAAAAGCGUGAGUUCAAUGUAGGUGAUUAUGUCUUGCUAUAUAACUCUCGUUUAAGAUUCUUUGCAGGCAAGCUUCUCUCUAAAUGGGAAGGUCCCUAUGUUGUUGAAGAAGUAUGUCAUUCCGGUGCUAUCAAGGUCAACAACACGGAAGGUAAUUGUCUCAGAGUUGUAAAUGGGCAGAGAAUCAAGCAUUAUAUCUCAGGUACUCCCAUAAAUGUUGAAAGCAAUAUCAUCAAUACUAUAACUCCCAAAGAAUACCUAAGGGAUAUUUAUCAGCCUGUUUCAGACUACAAAAACGAAGAGGUAUGUGAUUCGGUAAGAAAACAGAGUCCAAAACUUUUCCAGUAGGAAAUUUUCUCCGUUUUGGAAUAUUUGAAAAAUACAAAAAUUGGAAGUAGUCCGGAAAGUGCACGAGGAGGCGACAAGCCUGCCCGGCGCGAGCCCACCCCCUGGCCGCAUCGGGAGGGCUUGUGGCCACCUCGUGCGCCUCCCGAACUCCAUUUUCGUGCGGAGUACUCCUUCUGGUCUGGAAACAAUCAAUAUAUAUUCUCCCGUGAGGUCUGACCCCUAUAUCACGCAGAUUUCCUCUGUUUUUGUUUCGAGCCUGUUUUCUGUCGCAGAUUUAGAACAAGAUGUCAUCCCAGGAAUCUGUGGGGGAGAACAAUCUCCGUCAAGUCUAUGGAGAAGUACAUGUUGAUCUGAAAAGGAUGGAGAUCAUGGAGGUUAAGGAAAGGCUACCUAAAGAAACCAAGGGCAAAGUUGAGGAGAAGAAUCAGGCAUGGGACAAAGUGCAAUCUGUGCUCAACAGGGAAGAAGUUGAAGAAGUGGAUUUCCUCCAACCCUACCUCCACCUAAUGUCUCCAUGCUUGAUUGAACUCUUGAGGUUUUGUGAAGCAACUCGUGCUCACAAUACUUAUCUCACUCGUGAAGUUGUUUUGCUGGAAAAACAUAUCACAGAUCUCCAAGGUAUAAAUCAAAGAGUGAUGGCCCUCUUGGAAUCAAAGGUUGCAACAACUCCACCACCAUCACCAUCAAAGGAAGACAACUAAGCAUGGGUCAAUCCCCUUGGCUUGUGCCAAGCUUGGAGGAGUUGCCCCGGUAUCAUAUCACCAUCACAUCUUUUGCCUUUACCUUUGUUUUAGUUUGUUCCUUUUCGGUUUUCUUUCUUUUUCUCUAGUAGUUUAAAAGUCUUAGUGUUUUAGUCUUGAGUUUUGCUUUGUGUCACCCCCGAUGUAUUCGAGCUCGUGAGCCAUAUACUAAAGAGUGUCUUAGUUGAAGGGCUUUGCCUCUUGCCAUGAUCAAUAGUUUGAGAAAAGAACAAAAGCAUCAAAGAUCAUGUAAUGAUCUUAUGGGAAGUGAUGGCUUCACAUACAAAAAGGAUGAUGAUUGAAACAUGUUGAGGGCAGACAAACGUAGACCUUGGUCAUUGUUGCAAUUAAUAGGAAGUGAUAAAGAAGGAGAGGUUCACAUAUAAAUAUAUCAUCUCUGACACCAUCUAUGAUUGUGAACACUCACUAAACUAUUGCAUGCCUACAAGUAGAUGUUGGACAAGGAAGACAACAUAAUGAAUUGUGAUUGCUUGGCUCCGAACAAUGUUAUAUGAUUAGAGAUCCCUUAGCAUGUGACGAUUGCUUUCACCUCACAUUAGCCAAACCUCCCGCACUAAGUAGAGAUAUUACUUGUGCAUCCAUAAACCAUCAACCCAGUUUUGCCAUGUGAGUCCACCAUACCUACCUAUGGAUUGAAUAAGAUCCCUCAAGUAAGUUGUCAUCGGUGCAAGCAAUAAAAAUUGCUCUCUAAUAUGUAUGAUCUAUUAGUGUGUGGAAAAUAAGCUUUGUACGAACCUGUGAUGAGGAAGACAAAAAAGCGACAUACUGCAUAAUAAAGUUCUUUAUCACAGGAGGCAAUAUAAAGUGACGUUCCUCCGCACUAAGAGGACACGCAUCCAAACCUCAAAAGCGCAUGACAACCUCUGCUUCCCCCUGCGAAGGGCCUAUCUUGUACCUUUACUUUUUGCCCUUGAAAGAGUCAUGGUGAUCUUCACCAAUUCCUCAUUUCGCCUUUAUCUUGGCUAACGUCAUAUGCUUGGGAAAGAUUAUUGUUGACAUUACCCUUGAGGUAAGCAGUUGGGAGGCAAAACUUUAAGCCCCUAUCUUUCUCUGUGUCCAGCUGAAACUUUGAUCUCAUGAGUACCACGUGAGUUGUAGCAAUUGUAGAGAACGAAAGAAUGAUUGAGUAUGUGGAUUUGCUUUACAAGCUCUUAUUUGACUCUUUCUGAUGUUGCGAUAAAUUGCAAUUGCUUCAAUGACUAAAGGCUAUCGGUUGUCACUUCUCGGUAAGGUUCUUGAUCCAGGCUUUACUUUGUGAAGGGAUUAUCACUUUAGCAUGAGAGAUUAUAUGUUGGUAUGGUUGUUCUGAUCAUGAUCAUGAUGCAUGCAUGUUCGUAUCUUGUUUUGUUGACACCUCUCUCCCUAAACAUGUGGACAUAUUUAUUGAGCUAGGCUUUCGCUUGAGGACAAGUGAGGUCUAAGCUUGGGGGAGUUGAUACGUCCAUUUUGCAUCAUGUUUUCAUGUUGAUAUUUAUCGCUUCUUGGGCUGUUAUUUCACUUUGCUGUACAAUACUGAUGCAUUUUCUCUCUUAUUUUGCAAGGUUUACAUGAAGAGGGAGAAUGCCGGCAGCUGGAAUUCUGGCCUGAAAAAGGAGCAAAGUUGAGAUACCUAUUCUGCGCAACUCCAAAUGUCGUAAAAAUCAACGAGGAUAUUUUUCCUGAUUUAUAAAAAAUACUGGGCUGAAGAAGCGCCACAGGGCGCCAGCAAGUGGCCACAAGCCUGCUUGGCGCGACCACACCCCCUGGCCGCGCCAAGGGGGCUUGUGGGCAGCCUACUGGCCCACUGGCCCCCCUCUUCUGCUAUAUGAAGGGUUUCGUCCAGAAAAAAACCAGGGAGGAGCUUAUUCAUGGAUUCGCCGCUGCCACGAGGCGGAACUUGAGCAGAACCAAUCUAGAGCUCCGGCAGGACGAUCCUGCCGGGGAAACUUCCCUGCCGGAGGGCGAAAUCGUCGCCAUCGUCAUCACCAACACUCCUCUCAUUGGAGGGGACUCGUCACCAUGAACAUCUUCAUCAGGACCAUCUCAUCUCCAAACCCUAGUUCAUCACUUGCAACCAAUCUCCGUCUCGCGACUCCGAUUGGUACUUGUAAGGUUGCUAGUAGUGUUGAUUACUCUUUGUAGUUGAUGCUAGUUGGAUUAUUUGGUGGAAGAGAUUAUGUUCAGAUCCUUGAUGCUACUCAUUACUUCUCUCAUGAAUAUGAUUAUGCUUUUUGAGUAGUUACUUUUGUUCCUGAGGACAUGGGAUAAGUCAUGCUAACAGUAGUCAUGUGAAUUUGGUAUUCGUUCGGUAAUUUGAUGUGUUGUAUGUUGUUUUUCCUCUAGCGGUGUUAUGUGAACGUCGACUACAUAACAUUUCACCAUUAUUUGUGCCUAGAGGAAGGCAUUGGGAAGUAGUAAGUAGAUGAUGGGUUGCUAGAGUGACAGAAGCUUAAACCCUAGUUUAUGCAUUGCUUCGUAAGGGGUUGAUUUGGAUCCACUAGUUUAAUGCUAUGGUUAGACUCUGUCUUAAUUCUUCUUUUGUAGUUGCGGAUGCUUGCGAGAGGGGUUAAUCAUAAGUGGGAUGCUUGUCCAAGUAAGGGCAGUACCCAAGCAUCGGUCCACCCACAUAUCAAACUAUCAAAGUAACGAACGCGAAUCAUAUGAACAUGAUGAAAACUAGCAUGACAGAAAUUCCCGUGUGCCCUCGGGAGCGUUUUUCCUCCUAUAAGACUUUUUCCAGGCUUGUCCGUUGCUACAAAAGGGAUUGGGCCACUUUGCUGCACCGUUGCUACUUUUGUUACUUGUUGCUUGCUACGAAUCAUCUCACCACACAAUCACUUGUUACCGAUAAUUUCAGUGCUUGCAGAUAUUUCCUUGCUGAAAACCACUUUUCAGAUCCUUCUGCUCCUCGUUGGGUUUGACACUCUUACUUACCGAAAGGACUACGAUAGAUCCCCUAUACUUGUGGGUCAUCAGUGGGCAGCCGGGGCGAUGGGCAGCCGGGGAGGAGGGGCAGCCGGGUCGGUGGGCAGCCGGGGCGGUGGGGAAGCCGGUGGAGGGGCGGGGAGGAGGGGAGGCCGGAGGAGGGGGCAGGGNAGAGAGACAGAGAGAGGGGGCGAGGAACCGGCCGGCCUGUCGGAGACAGGGGGGCGUGGGGUGGGGGAGACGGCCGUUAGGGGGGCCCUCUCUUUGCCGUCCGCCCCCCGACGACAAAGAGCAGGAGGNNNNNNNNNNNNNNNNNNNNNNNNNNNNNNNNNNNNNNNNNNNNNNNNNNNNNNNNNNNNNNNNNNNNNNNNNNNNNNNNNNNNNNNNNNNNNNNNNNNNNNNNNNNNNNNNNNNNNNNNNNNNNNNNNNNNNNNNNNNNNNNNNNNNNNNNNNNNNNNNNNNNNNNNNNNNNNNNNNNNNNNNNNNNNNNNNNNNNNNNNNNNNNNNNNNNNNNNNNNNNNNNNNNNNNNNNNNNNNNNNNNNNNNNNNNNNNNNNNNNNNNNNNNNNNNNNNNNNNNNNNNNNNNNNNNNNNNNNNNNNNNNNNNNNNNNNNNNNNNNNNNNNNNNNNNNNNNNNNNNNNNNNNNNNNNNNNNNNNNNNNNNNNACGACAAAGAGCAGGAGGGCAGACGGCAAAGAGAGCGCCCGUUAUGGGGUGGAAGGGGGUGUGUGGUGGGCCGCCCCGCGCUCUCUGUCGUCUGCCCUCCUGCUCUUUGUCGUGCGCCAGUAGACAGCAAAGAGCCGACUGAUGGCAAAGAGGAUCUUUGCCAUCAGUCUGCUCUUUGUCUUCCGUUUUUUGGUGACUGAUGGCAAAUAGGGUCUUUGCCAUCAGCCAGCAGACGGCAAAGAAGAAGUUGACGGCAAAUAAUUGAAUUCCAGUAGUGCAUGAGGAUGUGCAGAAAACACACCAUCGCCUCCGCGCCGACUUCUAUCUUCCUGGAGACCGCGCGUUUGUGCGCGAUUGGGUGCGCUCUUGUGUGACGUGCCAGCGCAACAAGACCGAGACAUUGCAGCCAGCCAGCCUUCUACAGCCCCUUGAGGUGCCAUCCCAGGUGUGGGCUGACAUCUCCAUGGAUUUUAUUGAGGGCCUUCCCAGGGUGGGCGGCAAGUCCGUCAUCCUCACUUUGGUGGACCGUUUCUCCAAGAAUGCGCACUUUAUCGUGAUUGGUCAUCCCUACACCACCUGUUCCAUCGCACGAGCAUUCUUCGACGACAUCGUCCACCUACACGGGUUUCCCUCUUUGAUCGUCAACGAUCGUGACCUGGUGUUUACUGGACACAUUUGGAGGGAUCUCUUUCGGUUUGCGGGCGUAAAGUUGCGCUUGAGCACCGCCUUUCAUCCCCAGACUGACGGUCAAUCAGAGGUUGUCAACAAGGUGAUCAUUAUGUACUUGCACUACAUCACAGGUGAUCACCCCCGAGCUUGGGUGGACUGGCUUUCGUGGGUGGAGUACUGCUACGGCGACAUAAAUCUUCUGUCAUCUCUUGAGCUUGCAUUGGUUUUUCCCUUGAAGAGGAAAGGGCGAUGCAGCACAGGAGCAGUAAGUAUUUCCCUCAGUUUGAGAACCAAGGUAUCAAUCGAGUAGGAGAAUCUCGUCAAGUCCAGAGUACCUGCACAAACACAAAAGAGCUUGCACCCAACGCUAUAAAGGGGUUGUCAAUCCCUUCAAGAUUGAUUGCAAAGUGAGAUCUGAAGGCGAAAAGUUCAACGAAGAAAAAGUGUAAGGCUGAAAAUAUGGUGUGAAGUAGACCCGGGGGCCAUAGUGUUCAGUAGAGGCUUCUCUCAAAAUAGCAAAUAUUACGGUGGGUGAACAAAUUACUGUCGAGCAAUUGAUAGAACCGCGCAAAGUCAUGACGAUAUCUAAGGCAAUGAUCAUACAUAUAGGCAUCACGUCCGAGACAAGUAGACCGAUACUUUCUGCAUCUACUACUAUUACUACACACAUCGACCGCUAUCCAGCAUGCAUCUAGUGUAUUGAGUUCAUGACCAACAGAGUAACGCCUUAAGAAGGUUGACAUGAUGUAGAGGGAUAAACUCAAACCAAUGAUGAAAAUCCCAUCUUUUUACCGUUGAUGGCAACAACACGAUGCGUGCCUCGCUACCCCUUCUGUCACUGGGUGAGGUCACCGCACGGUAUGAACCCAAAACCAAGUACUUCUCCCUUUGCAAGAAUCAUAGAUCAAGUUGGCCAAACAAUACCCACAACUCGAAUAGAAUUACAAGGAUAUGAAAUCAUGCAUAAGAGAGAUCAGAAGAAACUCAAAUAAGAUUCAUAGAUAAUCUGAUCACAAAUCCACAAUUCAUCGGAUCUCGACAAACACACCGCAAAAGAAGAUUACAUCGGAUAGAUCUCCAUGAAGAUCACGGAUAACUUUGUAUUGAAGAUCCAAGAGAGAGAAGAAGCCAUCUAGCUACUAGCUAUGGACCCGUAGGUCUAUGGUGAACUACUCACAUAUCAUCGGAGAGGUCAUGGUGUUGAUGAAGAAGCCCUCCGUAUCCGAAUCCCCCUCCGGCAGGGCACCAGAACGUGCCCCAGAUGGGAUCUUGCGGAGACAGAAGCUUGUGGCGGCGGAAAAGUACUUUUGAUGAUCUCCUGAUUUUUUCUGGAAUUUAUGGGAAUAUAUAGGCGAAAGACCUAGGGCAGAGGUGGCCCGGGGAGCCAACAAGCCUGGGAGGUGCGGCCCCCUGGCCGUGGCUAGGGUGCUUGUGGGGUCCCUGGUGGCCCCCUGCCUUGGUUCUGAAGCUUCCCGAUCUUCUUCUGUUUCGGAAAAAAUCUUUUUUGGAAGUUUCGUUCCGUUUGGACUCCGUUUAAAAUCCUCCUCUAAAAGGGGUCAAAAACACGGAAAAAAACUAGAACUGGCACUUGAUACUGAGUUAAUAAGUUAGUCCCAAAAAGAUAUAAAAGGCAUACAAAACAUCCAAAGUUUGACAGGAUAAUAGCAUGAAACCAUCAAAAAUUAUAGAUACAUUGAAGACGUAUCAAGUACUGCUACAACACUCCUUACCACUCCACCCUACAUGCCACCCUCUUUGAGGUGGUUUAUGGCCGGCCCCCUCCCGCCAUCCUGCCUCUCCAAUCCGGGCCGCAUGGAAAGAGGCAGCGGGAAGACUCCUUCGCGACCGCGAUGUCAUUCUUGCUGAGGUGUGGCAACAUUUUCUUCAGGAUCAGGAGCUGUCCAAGAAAUACUACGACGCUCACCACGGCGAGGCCGAGUUUGCGGUGGGGGAUUGGGUGUGGCUGCGGCUUCUCCACCGUACUACGCAGUCACUUGACCCCCGCGCCAAGCGCAAGCUGGGUCCUCGCUAUGCAGGGCCCUUUCAGGUGUUGGAACGCAUUGGCGGCGUCGCCUACCGAUUGAAGCUUCUCCCCAGUGCACGUCUCCAUGAUGUCUUCCAUGUGGGAUUAUUGAAGCCUUUCCAUGGCGAGACGCCGGCGGCUGAACCAGAUCUUCGGCCAACCUGUGACGGGCGCUUACUUCCUGCUCCAGCCAAGGUAUUGAAGGCCUAGCAAAGCCAUAGUGUACGACACCUUUUGAUCCAGUGGCACGGUCGUGCAGAGGAGCAUGCUACGUGGGAGAACCUCGAGUAGUUCCGUCAGCAUUAUCCAGAUUUCUAGCUCGAGGACGAGCUAUUUGCGCAGGCGGGGAGAGAUGUUAUGACCGGUUUACAUUAUAGCCGGAGGAGGCCCAGUUAGCCAAGCUGGCCCAGUUAUCUUAUAGUAUUUGGGGCAUAGACUUGUUGAUAGCCUAGAGGAGUUAUAUAUAAUCAUGAAAUGAACACCUUUGAGAUUAAGCAAGAUCAAUCUAUUUUGAUUGGCUCCUAGAAGGAGUUGGUGCCCUAACCCUAACCGCGCCCAACUCUCUCUCUCUCUUGCUCGCGACCACGGCGCCCUAGCGCCGUCGGCCGCGCCACCUGCCUCACCAUCCACCGCAGAACUCCUAUAACCUGCGAGUAUGCCCUGGUAGGGAAGCUGUUCCUAUGAGAGGCACAAACACAUCUUGUUCGAUGGCAUCCUAUUCCUCACUCGUGUCUGCUUCUCCUGUGACUCCAUCGUGCUCCGUCAACGAGGCCUCUGGAUAGUCGGAGCAUGUGCCUAAUAAAUUCUACAAUUAUUAUCUAAUCCAUUCACAGCAGUAUGAGUAGGGUGCUAUACUCCGACGAGGAUUGCACAAAGCCAUACAUGGGGCUUCCCAUAUGACCUAAUGGUAGCCGAUAAGCCAUCUCCCACCAUGAGUUAAUCUCACUUGGCUGGCAAAGCAGAAAAACCAUGCACUCAAUGAGGGGAGACUGGUAGAUUUGGCAGGACCAUCAUACGGAGUCCGGAUCCCCAUUGAUUGUUCUGAUAGGAUAGGUAGAUGGUGUAGGCUAGGAUCCCGGUAGUAGAGACGGUUGGUUUACCUUGUCCUGCACUUGAGGAGCUCCCGCCAGUGUCCAUCGGUGAGGUGGUGACGGCGGCUGCGACACAGAGAGAUGUGGUGGCGGUAGUGCUUCCCGUGAGUACCGCUCUAACCCUAGAUCAGUAGGGCGUGCACGUGGGGAAAGUGGCGACGGUCAACCUCGUAACUCGUGCCCCGGCCACCACCUCUGUUAAUAUAGCGCGGGUCACAUGGGCCCACCAACCAUAAUGGGUUGGGCGCCCCCGAGUAGGGCGCAUGGAUCAAGGGUCCGGUGGGCCCACACAGAAGAGAUCAACCUAACAUUCUCCCCUUGAUCUCAACUUUUACUUUAACUUUAUACUUUCUAGUUUAUUUGUUCCAUCACAUAUUGGAACAUAGAGCAUGUCUCAUCGUCACAGCUUAAUUGCCGAUAGAAUCAUACAGCUACAACAUACUUUUUGUUCAGAAACAAAUUCUGCUCCUUUUGGGCCUCUUAUGAUCCAGGAAUCAUCGGCUUUCCAUUAACCCCAUGCCGGCUAAGGGUUCCUUGAACACAUUGGGUGGCAGUCCUUUCAUUAGCGGAUCCGCAAGCAUAUCCUUUGUCCUUAUACGCUCGAGACGUAUAGUGUGAUCCUGGAUUUUAUCUUUCACAACAUAAAACUUUAUAUCUAUUCUCUUGGUAGCAUUAAUCGACUUGUUGUUGUGAGCAUAAAACACCAUGGGAUGGUUGUCACAGUACAACUUUAGUGGCUUGUGAAUACAAUCUACCACUUUCAAGUCGGGUAUAAAUUUCUUUAACCAUAUCACCUGCCCGGUGGCUUCAAAACAUGCUAUAAACUCUGCUUGCAUCGUGUACGAUGCAACUACGAUAUGUUUGGAGAUUUUCCACAAAAUAGCCCCUCCAGCGAGAGUGAACACGUAUCCUGACGUGGAUGUUCUAUCAUCUCUAUCUCCCGCAAAAUAUGCGUCUGAAUACCCUUUUAUCUCUAGGGAAUCAGAUCUUCUCUAUGUUAGCAUGAUAUCCUUUGUGCCUCGCGCAUAGCGCAAUGCUUUCUUUACCAUCUUCCAAUGCUCUAGGCCUGGAUUCCCUUGAUAUCUACCGAGUACCCCGGUGAUAAAAGCUAAGUCAGGGCGGGUGCACACUUGUGCAUACUGUAAACUUCCAACAGCCGAAGUAUAUGGCACUGCUUUCAUCUCAUCGAGCUCGUACUAGUUCUUGGGACAUUGGAAUUUCCCAAAAUUGCCGCCCUUGACUAGAGGAGCAGGUGUGGCCUUACUCACAUGCAUAUUGUACUUUUUGAGAACCUUCUCUAAUUAUGCUUUCUGUGAUAGUCGUAAGACUCCAUUUUUCCUAUCUCAGUGAAUUUCAAUGCCCAAAACAUAUGAAGCAUCACCAAGAUCUUUCAUAUCAAAGUUUGAGGAUAAAAACUUAUUUGUUUCUUGUAGUAGACUAACAACAUUGCUUCCAAGCAAGAUAUCAUCCACAUACAAGAUUAGGAAAAUGUAUUUCCCAUUUUUGAACUUUGCAUAAAUGCAGUUAUCCUCAACAUUUUCUUUAAAUCCAAAUCAUUUAAUACUAUCGCUAAACUUUAGAUACCAUUGUCUAGAGGCUUGCCUUAGUCCAUAAAUGGCUUUCUUUAGGCGGCAUCCCAUAUCUUCCUUGCCUUCCAUGAUAAAACCCUUGGGUUGUUUCAUGUAGACAUUUUCUUCUAAAUCUCCGUUUAGAAAUGUGGUCUUUACAUUCAUUUGAUGCAACUCUAAAUCAAAAUGUGCAACUAAUGCCAUUAUGAUUCUGAAGGAAUCCUUACAUGAGACUGGGGAAAAAGUCUCAUUGUAGUCUAUAUCUUCUCUUUGUGUAAAUCCUUUUGCCACGAGUCGUGCUUUAUAAUUUUCUAUAUUCCCAUUAGAGUCAUACUUUGUUUUAUAGACCAAUUUACAGCCUACUAUUUUGGAUCCUUUAGGAAUAAUUUCUAAGUCCCAAACAUCGUUGGAACUCAUCGAGUUCAUCUCGUCUUCCACUGCCUCUAGCCACUUCGAUGAGUGAGGGCUUCUCAUGGCUUCUUCAUAUGAAGUGGGAUCACCUUCCAUAUGAACCAAUUCUGUGUUAUAAACUUUAUAAUCAGCAGAAAUAGCUGAUCUUCUAGUUUUGUUAGACCUUCUAAGUACCUCAUUCUCUGGCACAUCCUCUAAAAUAGGCUGUUGUACCUCCCUUUCAUGUUCAACAACAGGUUCAGGCGGAUCCUGAAGGACAGGUUCCAGGUCUUCUCCCAUAGUUGUCAUGGUUGGAGUUACAACGGGUAGUGCGAAAAAUGGCUCUUGAAUCAUCAGAUUAGGUGCAUGCACCCUCUUCUCCUCAAGAUAAUUUUUCCAAGCUACCAUGCUCCCCCUCAUCAUUUCCUCCUCUAAGAACACUGCAUGUCUCGUUUCUACAAACUUUGUGUAUCUUUCUGGACAGUAGAAACGAAAAUCCUUUAAUCUAUCAGGAUAGCCAAUGAAGUGGCAACUCACUGUUUUGGGUUUAAAUUUGCAAUGUUUGGAUUAAACAUCUUGGCCUCAGCUAGGCACCCCCACACCUUGAAGUGUUGCAAGGAUGGUACUUUUCCUGUCCACAGCUCAUAUAGUGUUUUGGGCACCGACUUGCUUGGCACUCUAAUGAGAAUGUGAAUGGCGGUUUUACGCGCCUCCAUCCAUAAUCCCAAUGGCAGGUUGGAGUAACUCAUCAUGUUGCGCACCAUAUCCAUAAGGGUACGGUUAUGCCUUUCAGCUACUCCAUUUUGCUGAGGCUCGCCCGGCAUUGAAUACUGGGCAACUAUACCAGAGUCCUGCAAGAACUUUGCAAAAGGUCCAGAAACUUGGCCAUAUGGAGUGUGUCGACCGUAGUACUCCCCCCCCACGGUGAGAUCUCACUAUCUUUAUUCUUUUGUCAAGCUGAUUUUCAACUUCAGCUUUGAAAAUUUUGAAUUUAUCCAAUGCUUCAUUUCUUUCUUUGAUUGGAUAAAUAUAACCGAAAUGGGAGUAUUCAUUUAUGAAUGUUAUGAACGAAUCAUAGAAAUCCAUGAUUUUCACAGGAAAUGGUCCACAAAUGUCAGUGUGGAUGAUUUCUAGUAUUCCGGUGCUUCGGUUUGCACCCUUUUUAAUUUAUUUUACAUACUUUUCUUUAAUGCAAUCAAUGCAUUGUUCUAAAUCUGAGAACUCUAGUGGAGGAAGUAUCUCGCUUUUAAUUAGUGUUUCUAUCCUCCCUUUCGAAAUAUGGCCCAAACGACAGUGUCAUAACUUCGAUGAGUCGUGAGUUCUCUUUCUUUUCUUUUUUUCUUUGUUAGACGAGGAAUCUUGCUCAUUCACAUUACACACGCAAUGCACUUUUUCACGAAGUGAUAAUAAAUAAAUCUCGUUGUGAAGUAAAGCAACACCAACAUAAGCAUUAUUAUACCAUACGGCACACUUGCCAUGUCCAAAAUAACACUCGUAAUUGUCUUUAUCUAAGCAAGAAACAUUUAUUAAAUAUCUAUGACAUGAAGGAACAAAUAAGACGUCUCUAAGCAAAAGAUUAAAUCCUUCACCCAACUCCAAGGAGAUGUCGCCGACAGCUUCAACUUCUGCUUGGAUGCCAUUUGCGACUUCAAUACUUCUUUCUCUUCUUUGCAUAGUCCUCGUCGAACGGAAUCCCUGUAAUGAAUUUGUAACAUGAACAGUUGCACCUGAGUCAAUCUACCAAGUAGAUUUCAAAAACUGUGAAUACAUGGAUUCAUUAACAAAGGAAACGAUGUUGUUACCUCUCUUUGACAUGAUGGUCUUUAGCCAGUCAUGGCAAUCCUUUUUGUAGUGCCCCGUCUUCUUGCAGUGGAGACAAGUGUCCCUGUCCAUUGGAAGAGGCUUUUGCUGAUGCUGAUAGUGUGAGAGGCCUUUAUCAUGUGGCUUCGAAGGAGAACCUUUGCUAUUUUGACUGAAAUUCUUUUUUUAUUGUCCUUCACAUAAUUGAGUGAACUACCAUGUGAGGCUGUCAGUCUGUCCUCUUCUUGGACACACAUUGCUAUUAUCUUUACAAUGUCCCAUGUUUUAGGUAACAUGUUAUAGUUUACAACAAAGGUUUCAAACUCCUUUGGCAGUGAAGCCAUGACCACGUGGACGAGGAGUGCUGGUUUUAUUUUCAGGUCCGCGUCCAUUGGCUUGAGCUUUGUUGCCAUGUUGCUCAUUCGAAGGAUGUGCUCUCUAAUGUCAUGGACACUGCUAGUGUAGUUCUCUAUAACCAGUUGUUUUAUCAACUGGAUGACAUAUGUCUUUAAAGAAGCAGUGAACUGGCUCUUUAUCUUUGUAAGCAUGUCCCCUGUGGAAGUGCACUCUAUAAUUGAGCCCACAAUGACGUUCUCAAUUGUAUUCUUUAUAAAUGCCAGACACUUUUUGUUGGCGUUGAUCUACUUUUGAUUGCUGAGGGUGUAGGACAUCUUCACUGGAGCAUGAUCCCUGUGCUUUUCCCCCAUACAACAUCAGUGUCUUUUGCAUCUCUCACUGGAUCUGGAGGUUUAACGGGCCGUGGUUCCUCCAGAACCCAGACCAUCUCAGCACAGACAAAUGUCAUGUCAACUUUCUUCGCCCACUCAGUGUAGUUGUCACCUCUGAGUGUCGGAACAUCUUUUAGGCAACUCAUCAAGUGGAAGCCUCCUGAAAUCACAAUUUAAGUGAGAUCAGUAUAACAAUCAUUUGCAUUAAUCUAAGUUGGUCAAAUUGAACAUACAAUUGUCUAUGCAAUUAAAACUAUAUUACCAUUGGACAAAAAUAGAAAUAAAUACACCUUUAAUUAUAAUGAUGAUAAAACAUGAUUAUGUUAUUAACAACGUUGGUCAGAAAAUAACAGAAUCAUAUUCUUUUUUAAUAAACAAUCACUUUAAUGUGCUCUUUAAUUUUAAUUCUCUCUUAACUUUUAUUUUCUUUGUAAAAGAGCAAUAAAAUAAAUACUUUGCAUCGAAAAACGUGAAUAUAAAAUUCAUGUACUUUCCUACUUUACAGAAUUUUUUUUCUUUUACUAAAUAAAAUAUAAAUGAACUUUAUUAUCCUCUUUAUAAAAUCCAUGAACUUUUCUUUUUCUGAAAAAAUCUCUAUUUUUAUUUUCAGAAACUUUUAUUUUUCUUUGCAGAAAAGUUUCUAUUUACUUUUUUAUUUUCUAAACAAAAUUUUCGUUGGAAAAUUAAUGCAUAGAAAAAGAAAUUUAAAACUGUUUGAAAUCUACCUAAAAUACUGAACAGGAAAAAACGUUAAAACAAAAUUGUCAGCUUUGCUCUGGGCCGAAACCAGCGUGGCCCGAGGAGUGCUCCCGCGCAUCCCCUGGCCCUGGGGCACCACUUCGGCCCGCCCCGACUCGGCCCGCUAGGCCACCGACUUCAGCUGGGCCACACCACCUUCACUUUCGGCCCGACUGGCCCUGCUGGGGAUAGGGUUUUGCUCUAGACCAUCGAAUCUGAUCCGACGGCCAAGCGCGGAUGUCGCCCGAACAAAUCCACCACAACCACCGGAGGGGAAAACCCUAAGGUUCAUCCCCCCCCUCGAACACUCUCUCGCGCGGCACCACCGAGCAGUGAAGCUCGGCCGUCGGCGACGCGGUCAGCGACCAAUGCGCCGUAUGCGCCGCUGCUUCCUCCUCGUGCGCCGCUUUCCCUGUGCUCUCCCGCAUGGCUCUCUGUCGCAACCGGUGUGGGUCGAGGCGUGGAGGCCUCCCUUGCCCCCUUGCCGACGUGCGCGAACACCCGACGGUGAGCGCGUCGCCGGCAAGCGGCUGAGCGGGGUCUCCCUCCUUUGCACCCCGGAGGGAAUGUCUUUUAUUUGUCUUCUAUGCUCCGUUGCCAUCCCCCUCGCCGGCCGCGCGUCCGCCUUGCGGUGAGCGCGCCGCCGUCGAGCGGUUUGGUGAUGGAGCUUCUUGCCCCUGUGGGUUUGUUCUUUGCCCUCGGAGGGAGUGGUUUUCUUUGCAUUUUUUGUUUGUUUUUACGGAUACGAUCCGAUCUGUUCUUUGCCCCCCGAAGAGGUGGCACCUUCUUCCGACGCCUCGGCUUGCCGAUGCGCGUCGAGAUCGAGAGCCCUCUCCGGUUUUCUUUGCGCUGCUAGGGUUCUUUGGGGCUUUGGGAUUUCUCUAUUUGCUACCGAAAAUCCAGUACACCUACCUGGGCUGAUACCAUUGACAGGAUCGGUAGAUGGUGUAGGCUAGGAUCCCUGUAGUAGAGACGGUGGGUUUAGCUUGUCCUGCACUUGAGGAGCUCCCGCCGGCGUCGAUCGGUGAGGUGGUGACGGCGGCGGCGACAGAGAGAGAUGUGGUGGCGGUAGUGCUUUCCGUGAGCACCGCGCUAACCCUAGAUCGGUAGGGCGUGUAGGUAGAAAAAAUGGCGGCCAUCAACCUCGUAACUCUUGUCCCGGCCCCCACCUCUGUUAAUAUAGCGCGGGUCACAGGAACCCACACCAACCAUAAUGAAUUGGACGCCCCCGAUCAGGGCACAUGGAUCAAAGGUCUGGUGGACCGUUGGUCCCACGCGAAAGAGAUCAACCUAACAUGUUCUUCAUAAAUUAAGGUGGGGGGUUGGCUGGACUAUGGUCAAUCUUGCCGGGUGAAUGUUGAGGGGCUGUCAAUUUUUCCGUUGAAGGAAUAUUACAUGCAUGUGUUGGAAGUUGAAGACGAUUUGCUCCGGAGAAGAUAGGAAAGGAGUGGAUAAGAUUUUUUUUUUUUGAAAAAUAGAUAAAUGAAAGAGAGAGAUGAUGGACCAAGGGGAACACAUGCGCGUGGGAGGAGGCGACCGAUGUUAGCUCCCAAUCGGCCACCCGUUUGGAAUCAAUUUUCUAUUGUAGUGCACUUUCUCCAACCAGGUUUAUAAGGCCUUGUUGUAUUUCGGAUCAAACUGGGAUCAUAAAUUUAACCAGCAAAAUAUAAAUUAUAUAACAUAAAAUUUAUAUCAUAUUUGGAACAGGUUCCGAUUGACACUAUUUUGAAUGCAUAAAAAUUAUAUGUUUUAUGCAAGAUCAAAGUUUGAAAUAAAAUAUGAGACUAAUAAACCCAGACAAAGAAAGUAGGACAUGCAUAGACGAUAAUGAUAAAACAAAUGCGUGCGUGCAGUUAAUAAAGGAAAGAAGAAACAAUUUUUGUGACUCUUAAAAAGGAAACGCUUGCGGCCGGCGGUUCGCGCGGCCCGCGUGGCUGGCUGACCAGGCAUGCAACAUUUUUUCGUUGAGAGUUGCUACAUCCACAUUCAAGUUUGUUACAAACGCUUUCCAUUUUGCUACAAUUUGUUUAUUGAAAAAGUUGCAUUUACGUUUGGUUGCACUUAGUUUGUUGAAUAUUUUGCUGCAAUCGGUGUUUGAUUUUUGCUACAACUGUUGUUAAUUUUUGCUAUAACCAGUAUACAUUUUUGCUACAAUCGUUCACUAAAAAAGUUGCAUACACGUUCGUCAGAGUUGCAACCCAAUUUCAUUGGUUUGUUUUGCUACAAUCCACAUUUUUUUUGCUUCGACGCGUCAUCGACGUCCUUUCUAUUGCAAGGACCACGUUGAUAUUUUUUGCUACAAUCAUAUAUUUUGCUCCAUCCGUAACCGAAAUUUGUUGUAUUGUAGUUAAAAUUUACUGCAUCGAGGAUUUUUGUUCCAUAGACAGAUCUGAUGGUCAAACAAGAUUUAAUCUAACGGAUCGACCGGCCCGUGCGGUUUCGGCCGGCGCGGAGCACUGUGCCUCUUAAAAACACGAUUUUUGUGUGGGGAUGGAAAUGGUACAUGUAAACAGUAACAGCGAGCUGCUUGGCAAUUUACGAACGUGCAUCCGGACCGGAACUGAAUAGUCCAGUUGACCACGAGACUCUGGUGUGUCGCGGACGUUCGAGCUCGACGUCGCAUCUCCACCAACCCAUGCAUCCACUUUCCUAGCUAGCAGCGUACGAUAACCGCCCGCGACCGGGACUCAUCCAACGCCCACCCCGCCACGCCGUCUCCCGCUUCUUCCACCUAUACAUACCUUCGCCGAAGCACUUCCUUCAUUCAUCAAAUCAAGCGGCAAUUACCACCACAAACCUUUCCGGCCGGCAGCAAACCUAGCUACCUUCCCCUUCUUUAACUAAGCCAAGCUUCGCUGCUUCCCACCGGCUUGCUCCUAAAAAAUGGGCAGCUUGGACGCCAACCCAAUGACGACCUUCUCCGCCUUCCCCGACGACAAGGCGGCAGCGUUCGAGCCGCUAAACCCCGAAGAUGUCCGCGCAUACCUCCACAAGGCCGUCGACUUCAUCUCCGACUACUACACCAACGUCGAGUCCAUGCCCGUCCUCCCAAACGUGAAACCGGGAUAUCUGCAAGACGAGCUCAGCGCGUCCCCGCCGACCCACUCGGCGCCGUUCGAUGUCACCAUGAAGGAGCUAAGGACCUCCGUCGUCCCCGGCAUGACGCACUGGGCUAGCCCCAACUUCUUCGCCUUUUUCCCCUCCACCAACAGCGCCGCGGCUAUCGCCGGCGACCUCAUCGCCUCCGCCAUGAACACCGUCGGAUUCACGUGGCAGGCCUCUCCUGCGGCAACCGAGAUGGAGGUUCUCGCGCUCGACUGGCUUGCGCAGCUCCUUCGCCUGCCCACCACCUUCAUGAACCGCACCAGCACUGGUCGGGGUACCGGUGGUGGCGUCAUCCUUGGCACCACGAGCGAGGCAAUGCUCGUCACGUUGGUCGCCGCACGUGACGCCGCGCUGCGUCGAAGUGGCUCCGUCGGCGUGGCUGACCUGCCGCGCUUGACUGUAUACGCUGCAGACCAGACCCACUCCACGUUCUUCAAGGCAUGUCGUCUCGCAGGCUUCGACCCUGCCAACAUCCGAUCCAUCCCUACCGGCCCAGCAACCGACUACGGGCUCGACCCGGCCAAGCUUCUCGAGAUCAUGCAAGCCGAUGCCGACGCCGGUCUUGUGCCAACAUAUGUAUGCGCCACAGUGGGCACAACGUCUUCCAACGCUGUUGACCCGGUGGGUGCCGUCGCCGGCGUUGCCGCCAUGUUUAAUGCAUGGGUCCAUGUUGACGCUGCUUACGCUGGCAGUGCGUGCAUCUGCCCGGAGUUCCGCCAUCAUCUCGAUGGCGUCGAGCGCGUGGACUCCAUUAGUUUGAGCCCACACAAGUGGCUUCUUACAUGUCUCGAUUGCACCUGUCUCUACGUCCGCGAUGCUCACCGCCUAAGCGACUCGCUCGAGACCAACCCGGAGUACCUCAAGAACGAUGCUACAGAAUCGGGCGAGGUUACGGAUCUUAAGGACAUGCAGGUCGGCGUCGGCCGGCGAUUCCGUGGGCUCAAGCUCUGGAUGGUCAUGCGCACCUAUGGUACCGCAAAGCUUCAGGAACACAUCCGUAGCGACGUCGCCAUGGCCAUGAUGUUUGAAGAUCUCGUACGUGCCGACGAAAGGUUCGAGGUGGUCGUACCAAGGAACUUUGCUCUUGUGUGCUUUAGGAUCAAGGCAACUGGAUCCAUGACGGAGGAGGAUGCAGAUGAGGCCAAUCGUGUGCUUAUGGAGAAUCUGAACAAGACCGGUAAAGCUUAUCUAGCACACACGGUGGUUGGUGACAGGUUCGUGCUUCGGUUUGCUGUGGGAUCGUCCCUGCAGGAGGAGAGGCAUGUGAGGAGUGCAUGGGAUCUCAUCAAGAAGACUACUAGCAGUAUCAUGGAUUAAGUGGAUGGACCUAUUGAUGCACAAAGCUCCAGAAGCCACACAAAUCCCUAUAUUUGGGAUAUAAUUAUUCUUUUGUAUUUAUCUUUUUUUGCUAUGAUUCGGGUUAUUAUUAGUUUGGACAUUUGUUUCUUAUUCCGUUUUGUGAUUUAUAUUGGCCGAGGGUAUAUCUAUAGUAGACCGGUACCAAACAAAAUGAUUAGAUUGUAAAACUGCUUAUACUGCAAGAACACGAGAUAUUAUUCUUUAUAUUAUACUCUACUACAAAUAUAUGGGACCGACUUACAGUCAGGCACCUGAAUUUUUGUAUUGUAUCAGUCACUUUCUUGUUAGACUAUGAGAUUUAAUGCAAUACGUACGUGUAGCGGUUGCACUAAGAAUUCAACAUGAAAAAUACUCCCUCCCUCCCUGAAUAAAUGUACUUCUAUCUUCUGUCAUGUGUCAAAGUUUUAAAUUUUUGACCAACUAUAAAAAAGGAGUAGUAACAUAUAUGACAUCAAAUUGAUAUAUUAAGAAAGUACAUUUCAAAACGGAUCUAAUGAUACUAAUUUAGUGUCAUAAAUUCUGCUAUUUUUUUUCCUAUAAAGCCGGUCAAAGUUUUAAAACUGUGACUUAGAACAAAAGCUAGAAAUACACUUUUUUAUGGACGGAGAGACUAUGCUAGAUAUCUCACUUCAAGGGCAUAACCAUAUAUGUGAUCCACAAGUUGUAACAAGCUCGGAACAAGUAAUGGUAAGAGUAUUCAACUAUCUCUACUCAUAAAACCUUGGUUGAUUGCAUCCAUGAUUUAUUUUCCUUUCCCAUUUUUGCAUGAUUUUUUUCGUCUCUCCUCCCGCUACCCCCUCCAUCCAGGUCCAUCGGUUUAUUUUUUUUUCACUCUUUAUUAUCAACCAGCACUAGUAGAAAACAGACCUUACGUUUGGAUCAUUAGCUCCGGUUUGACUUCGGUACGGGACUAAUGUGACCAUUAGUCCCGGUUCCAACGGCUAGGAGCGGUCGGGGGCAUGGGCAUCUUUAGUCCCGAUUCAUUUUAUACCUAUAGUCUCGGUUUGUGAUACAAACUGGGACUAAAGGUAUGAUGGCAGGCUGGCGUCAGGCUGGGGCUCCCAUGAACCCAUUUAGUCUCGGUAUGUAUCACAAACCGGGACUAGAGUUAGCCAUUUAGCCCCGGUUUGCAUAACCAACCGGGAAUAAGAUUUUCCUAUAUAAGCCCAUCGUCCAGACCGAGCCCAUUUCUCUAUUUUCUUCAUUCCCCUCUAUGUUUUUUUCCCUUAGCUCGAGCUCAUCCUCCAUUUUUUACCAAGAUUUUUCAAAAUUUGAGGCAGCCCCUCUCUCCAAGUGUUCAUAAAGGUUAGCAACUUUGUCCUUUCAUCUCUCAUUGCUAGAUUAGCUCGUGCAAUGCUCUAUAAGUAUAGUGAUUUGCUGGUUUUAGUUUGGGAGUAAUUUUGUGGGAGUUUAUUUCAUUUAUAUGCAUUUUUAGCUCAAAUUAACUUCUUAGUUUGCAUAUGUGUAGGUGUGGUUGUUGGAAAUAUGCCCCUAGAGGCAAUAAUAAAUUAGUUAUUAUUAUAUUUCUUUGUUCAUGAUAAUCGUUUAUUAUUCAUGCUAUAAUUGUAUUGAUUGGAAACACAGUGCAUGUGUGGAUGCAUAGACAAAACACUGUCCCUAGUAAGCCUCUAGUUGACUAGCUCGUUGAUCAAAGAUGGUCAAGGUUUCCUGACCAUAGGCAAGUGUUGUCACUUGAUAACGGGAUCACAUCAUUAGGAGAAUCAUGUGAUGGACUAGACCCAAACUAAUAGACAUAGCAUGUUGAUCGUGUCAUUUUGUUGCUACUGUUUUCUGCGUGUCAAGUAUUUGUUCCUAUGACCAUGAGAUCAUNNNNNNNNNNNNNNNNNNNNNNNNNNNNNNNNNNNNNNNNNNNNNNNNNNNNNNNNNNNNNNNNNNNNNNNNNNNNNNNNNNNNNNNNNNNNNNNNNNNNNNNNNNNNNNNNNNNNNNNNNNNNNNNNNNNNNNNNNNNNNNNNNNNNNNNNNNNNNNNNNNNNNNNNNNNNNNNNNNNNNNNNNNNNNNNNNNNNNNNNNNNNNNNNNNNNNNNNNNNNNNNNNNNNNNNNNNNNNNNNNNNNNNNNNNNNNNNNNNNNNNNNNNNNNNNNNNNNNNNNNNNNNNNNNNNNNNNNNNNNNNNNNNNNNNNNNNNNNNNNNNNNNNNNNNNNNNNNNNNNNNNNNNNNNNNNNNNNNNNNNNNNNNNNNNNNNNNNNNNNNNNNNNNNNNNNNNNNNNNNNNNNNNNNNNNNNNNNGGUAUCUCCGAAGGUGUUCGUUGAGUUAGUAUGGAUCGAGACUGGGAUUUGUCACUCCGUGUGACGGAGAGGUAUCUCGGGGCCCACUCGGUAAUACAACAUCACACACAAGCCUUGCAAGCAAUGUGACUUAGUGUAAGUUGCGGGGUCUUGUAUUACGGAACGAGUAAAGAGACUUGCCGGUAAACGAGAUUGAAAUAGGUAUGCGGAUACUGACGAUCGAAUCUCAGGCAAGUAACAUACCGAAGGACAAAGGGAAUGACAUACCGGAUUAUAUGAAUCCUUGGCAGUGAGGUUCAAACGAUAAGAUCUUCGUAGAAUAUGUAGAAUCCAAUAUGGGCAUCCANNNNNNNNNNNNNNNNNNNNNNNNNNNNNNNNNNNNNNNNNNNNNNNNNNNNNNNNNNNNNNNNNNNNNNNNNNNNNNNNNNNNNNNNNNNNNNNNNNNNUUGACUUCCCAUACAAGCUCGGGAAGCCUAGAAUAUUCACGUAGAGAUUCUUCGUCAGGUGCAUCACGUCGAUUGUCGAGCGGACCUCAUGGACUCCCAGUAGGGUAGCUCCCAAAAUAUAGAUUUCUUCUUCCACAUGGGUACACGCUUAUCAGGGCCGUUAGGAACAGGUUGGCUGCCAGGACCCUAUCAAAUACUUCAGCACCCUUCAGCACUAGUACGGAUGACAGGCUUCCCCCGGGGUUCUGCCUACCAUUGAAAUGCUUGCCUUUUUUCUUUAAGGGAUGCUUGGGCGGAAGAAAACGACGAUUGUACGGAUACACAUUCUUCCUACAUUUGUCCAGAUAUAUACUUUCUGUCUGAUCCAAACAGUGCGUGCAUGCAUUGUAUCCCUUGUUUGACUGUCCUGAAAUGUUACUAAGAGCAGGCCAAUCAUUGAUGGUUACGAAAAGCAACGCUCGAAGGUCAAAUUCCUCUUGUUUGUGCUCGUCCCACACACGUACACCUGGUUCGGCCCACAGUUGUAAAAUUUCAUCAACUAAUGGCCUUAGGUACACAUCAAUAUCGUUGUCGGGUUGCUUUGGACCUUGGAUAAGCACUGGCAUCAUAAUGAACUUCCACUUCAUGCACAACCAAGGAGGAAGAUUGUAGAUACAUAGAGUAACGGGCCAGGUGCUGUGACUGCAACUCUGCUCCCCAAAAGGAUUCAUGCCAUCUGUACUCAGACCAAACCAUAAGUUCCUUGCGUCACCUGCAAAUCUCGGGAACUCUCUCUCGAUUUUUCUCCACUGCCGACCAUCAGCGGGGUGCCUCAACUUAUCGUCUUUCAUACGAUCUUCCAUGUGCCAUCGCAACAACUUCGCAUGAUCUUUAUUUCUGAACAGACGUUUCAACCGUGGUAUUAUAGGAGCAUACCACAUCACCUUGGCAGGAACCCUCUUCCUGGGUGGCUCGCCCUCAAUAUCACCAGGGUCAUCUUUUCUGAUCUUAUACCGCAAUGCAGUGCAUACCGGGCAUUUAUCCAUAUUCUCGUACUUUUCACCGCGGUAGGGGAUGCAGUCAUUAGGGCAUGCAUGUAUCUUCUGCACGUCUAAUCCUAGAGGGCAGACAAGCUUCUUUGCUUCGUAUGUGCUCGCGGGCAAUUCGUUCUUUCUUGGAAGCAUCUUCUUCAUCAGUACCAGCAACUUUUCGAAUGACGAGUCAGUCACACCGGUCUCUGCCUUCCACUUCAGCAAUUCCAGUGUGCUACCCAGCUUCUUCUGGCCAUCUUCACAAGUUGGGUACAACAAUUUGUUGUGGUCCUGUAACAUCUGCUUGAACUGCAACCUCUCCUUUUCUGUGUCGCAACCUCGCCGUGCAUCAGAAAUGACCCGGCCAAGAUCAUCAGCGGGCUCAUCUGNNNNNNNNNNNNNNNNNNNNNNNNNNNNNNNNNNNNNNNNNNNNNNNNNNNNNNNNNNNNNNNNNNNNNNNNNNNNNNNNNNNNNNNNNNNNNNNNNNNNUAAAAAAAAUAUAAAUUGAGUAAAGAUAAAGUCUUUGUCAUAUAUACGAAGAAUACAAUGUGUAUGAAAGUUCUUGAUCACGUACUUCAAUUUUUUAAUCAAGCAUUAAACAAUGUUAAAUGUGUAUAGAAAUUGUUGACCAUGUAUCAAAAAAUGUUAUCUUGCAUUGUGAAAAUGUUAAAUAGCUAUAGAAAAUGUGUUCACGAUAUAUUCAAAAUAUACUAAUCAUUGAUUUGCAAAAUGUUAGUCAGCAUUUGAAAAAUGUUUAAAAUAUGUAUGAAAACCAGUAUUGACCAUGUAUUGAAAAAAUGAUAAUAUUGUAUUCCAAAAUGUUAAACGUAUAUUACAAAUAUGUAUUAUAUACAUAAAAAAUAUGCAAUCUGUAUAGGGAAAAGUAACCAUAAAACAAUACCAGUUUAAAAAAAAUAUUAAUCAUUUAUAUAAAAAAUGUUUAACAUGUUUCUGAUGUAUACAAAAAAUGUUGAAUUGUGUCCUAAAACAAGUUAACAUGUCUUGAACAAAAAACCCGAUGCAAUUUGGAACAAAGAAUGAAAAGAAAGGCGAUGAAAACAAAAGAAAACUAAGAAAGAAACAAAACAAAUCCAAAGUAUGACUAAGAAAGAAAGGAAAACUGUAGAAAACUAGUGAAAAAUAAAAGAAAACCAAAUAUGUAACGAAGGAAAGAAACCCGAUGAAAAAGAAAACAAAUAAAAAACCAAAAAGAAAAGAAAAAACAAUAAACAAUAAUAACCGGACUAGUGUAACAAUUAUAAAGGAAAAAAACAUCCAUAGUACAACCGAACUAAGCGGAGUGAACAAGCAACCGAGCGAGAAAGCGCAUUAAUGCGUCGGCCCAUGUCUUUAGACUCUUCCGGUGAAACGAGAGCUAUACUAUCUACUCCCUCCGUAUCUAAAUAUAAGUCAUAUUUCACUAGGUGUCUACAUACGAAGCAAAAUGAGUGAAUCUAUAAUCUAAAGUAUGUCUAUAUACAUCCGUAUGUAGUUCAUUAGUGAAAACCCUAGAAAGAUUUAUAUUUAGGAACGGAGGGAGUAUAAGCAAAGCAUAAUUCUCGUGUAGUCGCACAACCUUAUGCGAUAGUUGGCACUUCGGUGCAAAAUAGGGGCGGCACGCGUUAGCCUUGACUCGGUAAUGCUUACUAGCCUCGCUCCGUCGCUCGCUCAUUAGCUAAUCGCUUAGAAUCGCUUGCUCGGGCGUUGCUCAAUGAGUAUCGCUGGCUCCGUUGCUACUCACUCCUCCCUCAUAAAAGCUUCGCAGCUCACUCGAUCGACGCUAUUCAUUGGUUUUUUGUGCUUGCGUUUUGCUUGUUGGUUUGUUGUUUUAGGAAAAAAACAACCGGUUUUCUUCAGCUAAAUUUUAAAAUUGAUAAAAAUCAAGAGAUGUUCAUGAAUUUUGUUUGUUUUUUUUUCAAGUUUUUGAAAAAUAAAUCAUCAAUCUGAUAAGGUUGACGACUUUAGAAAUAAACAUAAUAGAUUUGAGAAAGACUUUGUCAAUUUGAAAAAAAGUUAACCGACAUGCAGUUGGAUAUCAUAUAUGGGCCGACCCAUAGUAGUAACACACUAAUUGAUGCUGUGAGCGCCAAAUAGGAGAUGUGGAAGGACAACUAGUUGUCGAGCGUUUCUUCGGAAGCCUCCCAACGAUCACUUCCAUGUGACGCCACUUGGCACGUUCUCGUCCGCCAUCACGUGUCCCGUUCUGAGCAUUUUUUUGGAUUUUUUUUGCACGCGUUUUUGGCUUUUUAGUUGGAUUUUUUUUGGUUUUUUCGGUGUUUCGAUUUUUCACCUGUCUUUUUUAGCUUUUGAACUUUUUUUUCUAAACUAAUUGCGCAAAAAAAUGUGUUUUUUAUUUUUCGAAAAGCAUGGUUUUUCUUGCACGGGAGACACAGAUUUGUUUCCGUGAGAGGCACACACGUGCCUCUUGAAAACGGAAAACAAAAUGUGUUUUCUUUUUUUUCCUUCCUCGAGAGGUACGGUUUUUCAUCCGUGAAAGACAUGAAUUUGUUUUCGCAAGAGGCAUGACCGUGUCUCUCGGAAACGGGAAAAUUAUAUUUUCCAUUUUAAUAUUUCGCGAAAGGCACUGAUUUUCUUUCGCAAGAGGCACGACCGUGCCUCUCGGAAACAAAAAUAUAUAUUUUCCAUUUUUUCUUUCACGAGAGGCACGGUUUUUCUUGCGUAAGAGGCACGAAUUUGCUUUCGCGGUAGUGCCUCUCGGAAACGAAAAAAAUGUGCUUCCUAUUUUCUUUUUCUUCCACGAAAGGUACGGUUUUGCUUCCGCAAGAGGCACGACCGUGCUUCUCGGAAAUGAAAAAACGUAUUUGCUAUUUUUUUUUCCUUUGGUGAGAGGUAUAGUUUUGCUUCCACGAGAGACACAGAUUUGAUUUCGCGAGAGGCACGGUCAUGCCUCCUGAAAAGGAAAAUAAUUCAUUUUUUUUCUUUCGUGAGGGGUACAGUUUUGCUUCUCCGAGAGAAACGGGUUUGCUUCCCCGAGAGGCACAACCAUGCGUCUCGGAAAUGAAAGAGAAUACGUGUUUUUUCUUCCGCAAGAGGCAUGGUUUUUCUGUCCGUUUUUUUAAAUUUCAUCAAAAUCUAUUAAAAUGUGAUCGUUUUUUCAAGAUCUCGACACGAGAAAUUUAACGGUAAAAAUGAUUCAAGAUUUGGACUCACGUUUAAGAGAUAAAACAUUUUAAAAAUACGGAUAUAUGAAAAAAAAAGAAAAAUCCCAUGUUGUGACAAGUAGCACACAUGCAGUGCGCCACUUAUCUCAACCUCGAAGGUAAGAGUUAUCUUUAAGAGGAGUAAGGCUAGUCACAAUGAAAAUUAUCAUAUAUACUAAUAUUAUGCAUAUAAUACUAGUGUAUGAUACUAUCUUCAUUGUGUAUAAUAUCAUAAAUUGUUACCAUAUUAGUUUCAUUUAUUGUCAUGCAAGACAGAUAUUAGUACAUCAUUUAAUAUGAUACGGUAUCACACUCAAUUUUCUCUUUCAUCAUUUAAUUAUGUGCCACAUACUCCCUCUGUCCGGUGAAGAGUGUACAUUUGACCUUAAAUUUGUCCACAAAAGAGUGUAUUUUUAUCUUUUCAAUGCACUUUAAAGUAUUAAAAAAUGCUUCUCUCUUAUCACAUAGUAAGCAAGAGCAAUAACAUUUUACACAUAGUCUCCUUAAUUUCUACAUGCACUUAGCUCAUUAGGGGUUGGGUAAUUAAAGAAGAGAGAGAUGGUGUCUUGCAACUUUCCAAUGCAUGUUUUUACUCUAUUUCAUAAUUUGUCCUAAAAUGUCUUUAUGUACAUUUUCAUUGGACAGAGGGAGUAGUGCAUAAGGUUGGUCGUAAUGGGAGUAUCAUAACUAGUAUUAUGCAUGCCAACUACUACCUCCGUCCAAGUGUAUAGGGCAUGCGCGUGGUUCUAGGUUGUCAAUUUAACUAGCUAAAUAUAUAUUAUAUGGGAUGAAAAUUACAUAUUCAGAAACUACAUCUUCGCAUGAAUCUAAUGGUAUAUUAUUUAUUACAUAUAAUACAUAUUUAAAUAGUUAAAUUAAUGACCUAGAACUACGUGCAUGUCCUAUACACCCGGACGGAGGGAGUAGACAAUUUUGAUGAGGUUUCAUAGAAUUGAAUAAAGAAAGAGGAGGUUAAAUAUCAUAUCAUCAUACCGUAUCAUAAUAAAAGUUAUACUACUAUGUAUCAUGCAUGAUAAAAAAUAAAAUAAUACAUGAUACUAACAUACGAUAUUAUGCAUCAGAAAGGUAUAUUAUACACUAGUAUCAUAUGCAUGAUACUAAUAUAUGAUACUUUCCAUUACGACCAGCCUAGUAUUAUAAAUUGGUAUCAUAGAAGUUUCAUUUAUUGUUAUACAAGGCAGAUACUAUACAUCAUUUAAUAUGAUACGGUAUCAUAUAUGAUAUUUAACUCUUUCUUUCUCAUUUAAUUAUGUGCCACAUAUACUAAAAAUUGACACGUAUGAUACUAUCUAAAAUACUUUCAUUGUGACCAGCAUAAGAGCCACAGUCAAGCAAGGUAAGAGCCGUGAGAGGCAUGGUUUUUCUGUUCAGGUUUUUUUCAUGAAUAAAAAGUUCGUCGAAAUAUCUCGAUGUGAGGAAUACAACGGUGGAAACGAUUCGAGAUUUGUACGCACGAUAUAAAAGAUAAAACGUUUUAAAAAUACGAAUCUACGGAAAAAAAAAACUACCAGGUUAUGUGGUUUUUGCUUGUGAAUACCAUUCGACUCCAGGGGUAUUUUGGGAAGGAUACUCCAUGGGGCCUACCCGUCAGGUUUGCAGCCUAGGUGGGACGGCACAUGGCAGACAGGACCAUCAACGCCGGCUCGUUCUAUAUAACCACGCUGCCAGCUGCAUCGCUGCGCUGCCUUUGCUCAACUGGGAAGAAGAACUUCCACUUCCCCUUGAUAGAAAAGUACUCCAAUCAAACCGAGAAGCUCACACCAUGGCAACCAAUGGCUACUCCAAUGGCGGCAGCACCAAGGGCAAGCCCAUCAAAUGCAAAGGUUCUCCCCCCGAUCUUCAAACCCCUCCUCAUCUUGUUCAGGCCAUUUUCUUCUUCGAUUCUUAUCUAUGCAUGCACCUGCCGGCGCCAUGAACCACUGACUAACCACGGUUUGGCGUCGUGGGAACAGCGGCGGUGGCGUGGGGUCCCGGCGAGCCGCUGGUGAUGGAGGAGGUGGAGGUGGCGCCACCGGCGCGUAUGGAGGUGCGCGUCAAGGUCCUCUUCACCUCCAUCUGCCACACCGACCUCAGCUUCUGGAGAGGAGAGGUAUAGCUAGCUAACUACCACAACCCCUCAAGACUAGCUUAGCCAUGCAUGGAGAUGCUUUGAUUUCUUCUUCUUUGCUUCAUCCUCCGAUCGAUCUGAGUUCCUGGCUGCUUUGACGACGCAGAACGAGCGUCAACGCAGGUUUCCUCGCAUCCUCGGACACGAAGCAGCCGGGUACGUACGUACGUUCGUCAAAAGUUGCUCUCCACCUUUGAUUUCCAAUUCUCUCUUUGAUUUUUCUUCUUCCCGUGCUACUACUUUUCACAACUUAAUCACAAGCGGCCAUGCGUCGACAAGUAUAGCUCGUACAGUUGAAAUGAGAUAUCAAGGGAUUUGUGAUUACUUUUCUCAUUUAUUUAUUUUUGUGUGUGUUUCGAGAUAGCUUAGGGCACGUGCAACGUGGCAAUUAAUUAGCUAUCUUCUGGAAUGAGAAAUUUUGUGCUUAUCUAGGGCGGAGAAGUCAAGGUUCAAGCGACUUUUUCUAGCCACACGCAAUCGCUUCUUAAUCACUCCAUUCGCUUAAGAAGAAGGCCCGCAGUUGGGAUACAGUGCUCGAUCACUGUCACUGGAUCGCUUAAGCGCUGUCACUGGAUGUACAACAGUUAUUUAGACAAGUUAUUUUUUAAUACAGUGAUAGAAAUCAGAAAAAAGUUUCCUCUUCGCCUGAUCGAGAAUGAAAAAAGAAAAACUAUGCAUGUAUGUAAAACUGGUGAGACAAGAAACGUCUUUGUGGAUGGGAGGAUAUGUCUAUCCAUGUCGGUCAGACAGAUCAGAGGCGAUAUCAUUUUGUAUGCAUCUUUAAAUAUGGGUUAUAUGGUUGUUGUCACAUGGGCACGCUGCGGCGAUCGAUGACAAUUGGAGCCUUGGUCCAACGGAAGCACCAAGGCAUGGCUCCAUCCAUCACCCCAGCCUAGCUCAUACGCCCAUAUGGCCCAUCCCUUGGCAUGUGUACUCCCAAAGUAUCUAGCUUGUCGUACUUGCCGGAUUAUGCCAUGCAUGUGAAGACUUUGACUUCAGAAAUGAUACACCAGAUUUGAUGGGUGAUGUGUCCGCUGCAAUAACUAACCGUAGAUACAUAUAAGUAUAUAUUUUGUUUUCGGAGGAGAAAAGUGGGUCAAAUUCAGGAUAUGGUUAGAGAAGCCUGCUACAGAUUCCGUUACUCCAUUUAUUUUGUUUUUGGAGGUAAAGAAAGAGUCAAAUUCAGACAUGGUUAUAGCAUGUCAAUUCAUCUUGUUUGAUUCCAUUUAUAUACUUCUCAAAGUUUAGCUGACCUCACGGUGGCAGUCACACGUGUACAGUAUGCUAGUGUGUCACCCUGCACAAUCUCUUCUAUUAUAUUGCACGCAUUUUUAUAAUUUUCAAAAUUCAGCUGAUCGCCUGGUCUGACGGUGGCGGUCACUUCAAUACAGAGUAGUGGAGAGCGUCGGCGAAGGCGUGGAGGACCUUGCGCCGGGAGAUCACAUCGUCCCCAUCUUCAACGGGGAGUGCGGGACGUGCGCCCACUGCCACUCCAGCGCGACCAACCUGUGCGGAACCUACCGUGUAAACCCCUUCAAGAGCACCAUGGUAUCCGACGACGGGACGAGGUUCUCCGUGGUGAACACCUCCGGCGACACGGUGCCGGUCUAUCACUUCCUCAACACGUCCACCUUCGCCGAGUACACCGUGCUCGACGCCGCCUGCGCCGUCAAGAUCAACCCCGCCGCCCCGCUGGAGAAGAUGUGCCUCCUCAGCUGUGGCAUCUCAACCGGUAAUUUUCUUCAAAUUAUUAACUUCGUCAUGCUGAUGCUCUUGUUCUCCCAGUAUCAGCAUGUGAUCUUGGGUGGUCCUCUAACAUUGAUUAAACAAUAAAUACUCAAUCAAUCGAUCGGUCUGAAUUAUUUAACAUGGAUGAUUACAUGAGAACAAAACGGACGUGCAAGUGGACAUGGCAUGGGCUUAUCAACUAGGUGUCCCUUGGUUUGUUAAUUUGGAAAACAGCAUAGCGAUUUGGCAUACUGAAGCUCAAGAUGCACACCAGAUAACAUGGCAGAUGGUUAGAAUGUUGACUUCGGUCGCUAUCACUCCCACCGCUGAUAACAAACUUUUUUAAAAUGUUAUUAAUUGUGACAUAGAGUCGCUGUCAUGCACAUCAGUUUCGAAGGUGCCUGCUGUGUCCCGUAACCUUGUGAGGACACUCCUCUAGAAUGAAAGAAACAUCUGAGUACAAAAUGUUUCAGUAUCAUCACUUCUUGGAAAAGUUGUUGUGCACACACCAAUUUCUCAAACACUGUGCUGAAAGGUUUAUUUGUAUAUUAUUAUUAUUAUUAUNNNNNNNNNNNNNNNNNNNNNNNNNNNNNNNNNNNNNNNNNNNNNNNNNNNNNNNNNNNNNNNNNNNNNNNNNNNNNNNNNNNNNNNNNNNNNNNNNNNNNNNNNNNNNNNNNNNNNNNNNNNNNNNNNNNNNNNNNNNNNNNNNNNNNNNNNNNNNNNNNNNNNNNNNNNNNNNNNNNNNNNNNNNNNNNNNNNNNNNNNNNNNNNNNNNNNNNNNNNNNNNNNNNNNNNNNNNNNNNNNNNNNNNNNNNNNNNNNNNNNNNNNNNNNNNNNNNNNNNNNNNNNNNNNNNNNNNNNNNNNNNNNNNNNNNNNNNNNNNNNNNNNNNNNNNNNNNNNNNNNNNNNNNNNNNNNNNNNNNNNNNNNNNNNNNNNNNNUUAUUAUUAUUAUUAUUAAGGAAUUUAAUACUGGUCAUUAGUAUAUAUAGCAAGUGUUUUAUGUUCAUAUGAUUUCAUUUUUGAUUUCAGGAGUGGGAGCUGCAUGGAACACUGCAAACGUGUCCAAGGGAUCCACGGUCGCAAUAUUUGGACUUGGUGCAGUUGGUCUUGCGGUAAGUCAAAUAACGACAUAUAACCAUCCGUGGGAAAAAGGAUUUAUGAUCAUUUUUCCUCCAAGCACAGCACAAUAAUAAAAGUUGCAAUGAACCGGUGAUGAACUUUUUUAACACAAAAUGCAAGGUAAAAAAAAUCAAUAAUCCUUUCAAACUUUAGGUUGGUGAAGGCGCAAGAAUAAGGGGGGCAUCCCGGAUCAUCGGCGUGGACAUCAAUCCUGAAAAGUUCGCCAAAGGUGCGCGUUCAGCCACGGCGUGUUCUUGCUCAAUGUCAUUUUCCAUCAUUUUCCAUGAUAUAACUGAGAAUGUCCAUUUACAAUAAACGCCUUGUCUACAGCGCAACAUAUAUAUUAGCACACCUUUUAUUUUCUGCCCACUUCGAGAAAAGAAAAGGGCAUACUUACUUCUGCUGAGAUCAAACAUGAACAUCGCUUUCUUCUCCGUGCGCACUACUACUAAUCUUCGAUAUGCUACGUGUACACUGCAGGCAAAGAGAUGGGCAUCACGGAUUUCAUCAACGCAAAGGCGUGCGGCAAACCUGUCCACGAGGUGAUCAGGGAGUUGACAGAUGGGGGCGUCGACUACAGCUUCGAGUGCAGUGGCAACGUUGAUGUGCUUCGAGAGGCCUUCGUUUCCACACACGACGUAUGCAUUUCCCCCUUCCUUCGCUAUCAACUUUUCUGAAGAGCAACUGUCAAAAAGAAGCUUUUCGGAAGAGCAAUUUCAUCUUAUUUAUCUUUUCCGGAGAAUUUUAUUUUGUUAAUCCGGCACGGGGACACAAAGUGGGCUGUUUUUCUGAGGGGAACACGUUGGCUCCUGAUGUCAUGGGCUGUACAGUUUUCAAGCAAUUAGGCUCAUCAACCUCAUAAAUCGUGUGAAUUCAGGGUUGGGGAUUGACCGUGGUGCUGGGGAUCCAUCCGACCCCCAGGAUGAUGCCGCUGCAUCCCAUGGAGCUCUUCGACGGCCGUCGGAUCACAGGAUCCGUCUUUGGUGACUUCAAGGGCAAGUCGCAGCUUCCCCUCCUCGUCGACCAGUGCAUGCAGGGGGUAAUCACUGUUUUCUUCAUUGUUCGCUCACAAUAUAUAGAAGCAAUAAACCUAAAUUUAAGACGGAUAAAAUUAUUUAAAAUUUCCUAAAGGCAAUGACUUUUUUUUACAGGAGGUUAAGAUAAACUUUGAUGGCUUCAUAACCCAUGAGAUGCCAUUCUCGGAGAUUAACGAGGCUUUCCGACUGUUGGAGGAAGGCAAGUCCCUCAGGUGUGUGCUACGCCUGUGAUGAGAGGCGAUGAGGCGAAGAGGAAUUGCAAGUGUUCCCUUGGCGAGAUACAAUGUUGUUGUUACUACCAUCUUACUGUAGAUCUUGUAAAUUUAAACUGGAGGUUAGAUUUCAUUCAAAGUGAAGACGACUCAUAAACAUGUGUUGGGUUUGCCUAGGUCUCGCUUGACCGAGAACUCUUAAGUCUUGGUUGAUCCACCUCCCGCUUCGGUGUUGUCCAUUUUGUUGUUUUUGUUUGUGUUGCAUCAGUUUGUGUAAUUAUCAGAAUUCAUCUUUGUAAAUGUGAGUGUCCAUUAUGCUAUGUAGGCGUGUGGGUUGUGAUCGGAACAGGAGAGCUCCUACUCUACACGUUUAGCUGUUAAUUGGCGAAAUAAAACUAGCUCCCGCUUCACCAUGUCCGGAUGUUAGAGCAUCUCCAACGGCAGCGAAAAAAAUCCGCGCCCAAUAAAUUUUUUAGCGCGUCACUGUAGCAGUUUUGAAGCGCGGGGACCGGAGCAUCUUCAACAGACGCACGGUACUGCGGCGCCCAAUCCAGUCCGAUCCAGCGGUCCCAUCUGCAGCCGCUCAGAGUUUGCUGCGCGCGCAAGCCGGCGCACCAAAUAUGCUGCGUGCGAUAGCGUUUUUGAGCGCGCGUCCAAAAAUUUUUAGCGCGCGCAGCGUUUUGCAGCUUCUGCUGGAGCAGUCCGGCGCCCAAAAAACGAAUCUUUUAGCGCGCGGAGCAGUUUUUGGGCGCCUGUUGGAGAUGCUCUUAGGCCCUGAAGGAAAAAAAAAUUGAGAACCUGGCUACUCCUCACUUUGAAGAAAAAAAACUAGCCGCAUGGAAGUUUCGAUAAGGUUUUGAAAUUUCGCGUAUUUCAGUUGUUGAAACCUGAUACAAACGAAAAAUAGAAUCACCAAGUUUAAAAACAUAAAAUUUAAAACUUGAAGUGCCAUCGUGCAGAAUCAAACACCUUGGUGUAUCACGAAGCAAUCUUGUGGUCGGGCAUGGCUGAAUUCCCUAAGUUAUAGAAUUACUGUAAGGAGAUCUCACAAGGAAGCCUCGACAAAGAAAUCUUAUUCUGAUACUAAUUGAAAAAAGGCUUAGUGAUAAAAUAAAGAUAAGCGAAUCUGAUUUAAAGAACCCAUUUCCCAUCUACUAGCAACUAAGAAAGGAUGAAGAUCGAGCAAAUAGAGUAACUAGCUUUCUUCUGAGGGAGACAAUUUGUGCUUGUAUAGUAAGGAAAAGUCGAGGUUUAAUUGGUUUUUUAUAGCCACAUGUAAUAACUUCUUAAGAAUUACUCUAUUUGCUGAAGCAAAAUCUAGCUGGAUGAUGGGCAUCGGAAGAGUUUUUCAUCUUUCUGUUUUUUUGCGGGGAAGAGUUUUCCAUCUUUGGCUGACAAAAAAAAGUAAUGCAUAGAAACUUGUUUUAUUUAUACAACUGGCCAGACAAGAAACAUCUUUCUGGAAGGUAGGAUAUGUCCAUCCAUGUCGGUCAGACAGAUCAGAAGCAAUUAUGUAUCCGAAUAUAGUUAUAUGGUUGUUGUCACAUGGACACCCUGCGGCGAUCGAUGACAAAUGGAGCAUUGGGCCUUCCAAGGCUCUCUCAUCCCAGCCUAGCUCAUACGCCCAUCCUUUGGCAUGUACUCCCAAAGUAUCUAAGCUUCUCUUUCUUGCCAGGUGAUGCCAUGUGCGGACCUCGGCUUCCAUUGCAAUAACUGAUCUCAACUAGCUUCCAGAGCAACAUAAUUGGAGUCUUCGUUGUGGAAAACAAAAUUAUUUUGUUGUUGGAAGUGAAGAAAUGGUCCAAUUUUGAAAUGGGUAGAAAAGUCUGUUAGGGCAUCUUCAACGCCAACCCUCAAACUGUUCGCAAGCGUUAAUUUGGACCAGAAUGUUCGAACGUAUGUUGCCAUAUGACACGGUCAUGUAUCGGCCUGCCGACCGGUCAAGACAUACUUCUUUCUGCAAAUAGGAAAUGAAUUGGGGCAGGGGAGGGGGGAGGGGGCGGGGGGCUUUGCGGGCUUACGGACCGAUGUCACGCCCACGUCUGUCUAUCCUGCCCAACAAAAACCCUCUCUCACCCCCGCGGGUUUUUCCUCCCGAAGUCAGCUGCCCACAUUCAUGCCGGACCAUAGCGAAUGCGACCACUUACAGAAGCCGACAUUGAAGCAGUUUGCCUGCCAAGAGCGCCGCCCAUUAUUCGCCCGUUGUUCGCACAUUGUGCAUGCCUUCUCUCCGCUAUGAAACGGCAUCCGGCUGCCCGCCUACUUCCACUUAACCAGCGUGUUCGUCGAGGAAGCUACUCCGACGCCUCGAGCGCCACACAUCCAUUUCUAUGCCAGUCGAUAUUAAACACCUCUCUGGCUGGCUCCUCGCAUCUGCGGGCUAUAUAAAUGUAGUCAGGCGACGGACAAGAACUACACCACAUCUCCGUUCUCUCCAUCUCCUCCUUGUCCAACCCUCCAUAGCCUCUAAUGAGCAGAAGGAGUUCUCCGGCAUUGCAGUGACCCCGGCUGCCCGACAAGCUAGCAUGAUACAGGUUGCCUGGCCGGCAAAACCUCCGGAUACAGUUCCACCACCAUCGCCACCCCUCCUUGCCCAGGCUGGCUAAAGCCGUCUCCCCGCAGAUCCACCACGACCAAUGGCAGCAACACGUCAGGCGGGUGGGGAAAGAACAAUGUCUACAGAGACCGGCACAUCCACGGCCACCACGGACAACGAGGAAAAGUAGAUCGUGAAACGCCGUUGUUGCUUGGGUCCUAGGAAGGCCCCCACCACCACGUCGUUGGGCGACACAACCUAUGACUUGCCCGAUGAGUGGGGUCAUAGACCACGGCGACUGUCUUCCCCCACCCAAAAACCAACCAUGGCUCGUGCUUUGCGAAGGUGGAGGGAGGCUAUUCUUUCCCUCUCGCUGAAGCAUAGCCCUCCAGGGCUCCCGGUAGUCCGAUAAGCAGGCUGGCGGGGAAGACAUGUCGUGGGAAUGGAGAUCCGCGGCGGCCGGUUAUAGACUAGUUUUACUGUAGUCAGGUAUUGUUUAGUUAAAAUAUGUCAGAACUAUAAACGUUUUCGGUUGGUUCGAAUGAAAGCCAUCUAGUUUGCAUGUAAUUCGUCCGUUUUUAAAAUAUGGUUUGAAAUUUAUGUGGAUACUUUUGGAUGGAUGGCUCCCGUAUAUGUGUCCACGGACUGGUACCACCUGUCCUCAAACAGAUUCGGUGUCUGGUUUGAGGGUCAGCAUUGUAGAUGCCCUUACUAGCUACGGAGAAUACCAAUGAUUUGUUUUCUUAAAAUAAAAAAAAUGUCAAAUUUAGACAUGGUUAUAACAUGUCUAUUCGUCUUGAUUCUGACGGUGACAAACACUCGUUUACAAUGUGGUGGAGAGUGUCACUCUGUACAACUUGUUUUAUUCUAGUGCAUGUGCAUAUUUUUCAAAAUUCCAGCUGACCUGACGCUGGAAAACAUGUUAUUACAGCUUGCUUUAUUCUGUUGCAAUUAUAUUUCUCAAAGUUGUGCUGACCCGAGGGUGGCAGUCACUCAUGUUAUGUACUUCUUCCGUUUCAUAAUCUAGUGUCUAGAUUUUUGUUAAGUCAAACCUUAUAAAAUUAGAUCAAGUUUAUGAAGAAAAUUAACUACAUUUGGAGUACCAAACAUAUCAUUGGACACAUCAUGACAUAUGUUUUCAUAUUAUAUAUGUUUUGUGUUGGAGAUAUAAAUAAAUUUCCUUUAUAAACUUGAUCACAGUCCUAGCAUGUGGAUGCUUUCAACAGAAUAGGAUGAUAUUCUGUGUGUUAAACUACCACCACAGAUGACACCGUGCCGGCCUAUCACUUUGUUAACACCUUCACCUUCGCCGAGUACACCGCCCACGACGUCGUCUGCACCGUCAAGAUUAACACCGUAGCCCUGUUGGAGAAGAUGUUCCUCCUCAGCUGCCGCAUCUCGACCUGUAAUUUUGUUCAGAUAAUUAAUAUCAUUCAGUUGAUGCUUAUCCGCACAAUAUCAUCAUCUAUUCUUGGGUGGUCCUCUCAGUUUGAUUGAUGACUAUGAUAGAUACUAUAGAUCAUCUAGGGUAGAGAUUAAAGGUAGUUCGUCCAUACAUUGCAUCUGGAUCGACAUUAGAGAGAGAAAGAGCGGAGAGGUGGGAGGAAGAGGGGUACCUUNNNNNNNNNNNNNNNNNNNNNNNNNNNNNNNNNNNNNNNNNNNNNNNNNNNNNNNNNNNNNNNNNNNNNNNNNNNNNNNNNNNNNNNNNNNNNNNNNNNNNNNNNNNNNNNNNNNNNNNNNNNNNNNNNNNNNNNNNNNNNNNNNNNNNNNNNNNNNNNNNNNNNNNNNNNNNNNNNNNNNNNNNNNNNNNNNNNNNNNNNNNNNNNNNNNNNNNNNNNNNNNNNNNNNNNNNNNNNNNNNNNNNNNNNNNNNNNNNNNNNNNNNNNNNNNNNNNNNNNNNNNNNNNNNNNNNNNNNNNNNNNNNNNNNNNNNNNNNNNNNNNNNNNNNNNNNNNNNNNNNNNNNNNNNNNNNNNNNNNNNNNNNNNNNNNNNNNNNNNNNNNNNNNNNNNNNNNNNNNNNNNNNNNNNNNNNNNNNNNNNNNNNNNNNNNNNNNNNNNNNNNNNNNNNNNNNNNNNNNNNNNNNNNNCGGCGACGGAGCUUCCCGUCACUACUGCGCUGACCUAGAUCGGUAGGAUGUGUCGAUGGGGUGUGCGGCAACACGACGAACCUCGUGUUGCAUGCCGCCGACCCCCCACGUCUUUAUAUAGCAUAGGUCACAGGAGGCCGUCAACCAUAGUGGAUUGAGCACCCCCAAUCAGGGCGCAGUUCUAGGGGCCCGGUGGGCCAUUGGCCCGCUCGAGAGGAGAUCAUCCUAACAUUCUCCCCCUUGAUCUCAACUUUACUUUUAACCAUAUACUUUUUACUUUACUCGUUUCAUCGCAUAUCAAUACAUAGAACAUGUUUCAUCGUCACAACUCAAUUGCUGAUAGAAUCAGACACCUACAACAUACCUCUCUGUUUUGAAACAAAUUAUGUUUCUUUUGGGCCUCUCAUGAUCCAGGAAUCAUAGGCUUUCCCUUAAACCCAUGUCGGCUAAGUGUUCCUUGAACACACUGGAUGGUAAGCCUUUCGUAAGUGGAUCUGCAAGCAUAUCCUUUGUCCUUAUAUGCUCGAGACCUAUAAUGUGAUCCUGGAUUUUAUCUUUCACAACAUAAUACUUUAUGUCUAUUGUUUUAGUAGCAUUACUCGACUUGUUGUUGUGAGCAUAGAAUACUGCGGCCUCGUUGUCACAUUACAUCUUUAUUGGUUUGUCAAUACAAUCUACCACUUUUAAGUCGGGUAUAAAUUUCUUUAACCAUAUCACCUGCCCCAUGGCCUCAAAACAUGCUAUAAAUUCGGCAUGCAUCGUGGACGAUGCAACUAUUGACUGUUUGGAGCUUCUAUCAUCUUUGUCUCCCGCAAAAUCUGCGUCUGAAUACCCUCUUAUCUCUAGGGAAUCAGAUCCUCUGUAUGUUAGCAUGAGGUCCUUUGUGCCUUGCGUAUAACACAAUGCUUUCUUUACCAUCUUUGAGUGAUCUAUGCCUCGAUUCUCUUGAUAUGUACCGAGUACCCCGGUGAUAGAAGCUAAGGCCCUGUUUGGAACCAUAAUAGAUUAUGAUAAUCUGGAUUAUGAACAUAGAUUAUAUAAUCUGGUUUAUAAAAAUAAUUCAGGUGGGCAUGUUUGGAGGCCAGAUUAUAUAAACUGUAAACCAGCUUUUAAAUUGUACAAUGACAUGUUUGCCCUCUGUUUACAAGGAAAAAUAGGAAAGUGGCGGUGGCACUGCGUAAUUCUCUUGAAGUUUACAAGGGUAACACGUCAUUUGUAAUCCAUAAUCUCAUUUUAGCUGGGGUAGAGCAGAUUAUGAGAUUAUAAUAAUCUGGUCAUCUAGUUUAUAAAAUCUACAAUAUAAACU
rnacentral:lncRNA from 1 species